GAUGAGUGAGGGGGAUUAGAUGCGAAAGAAAGAUACCAGUGAAAAGAAACAUAAACAAAUAGAGAGAGAGUAGCAUGGUGAUACUGACAAAAACAGACGAUAGGGAACUUGAGAGAAUAUGUUUAGGAGAUGAGUGAAAGUAAGGAAAAUAUGUAGAAUCUUUUAGAGAGUGAGUGAAGAGAAACGAAAUUUACUCAUGUAUUGAGAGGGUGAGAAAGGAAGUAUUAAUAGAAAGCGAGAGAUGGCCGAGGAUUUUAGUAAACAUACUUUGUUACCAGGACGUUUAAAGUCGUUGUUCCUAGGACAUCUUUGCUCCUUCAGUUUGGAGGAUUAAACAAACAACGUAAGAACAGUGAGACGUUGAUUGACUAAGGUAAAUAUUGACAGAUUUUUUUCAUUCAAAUUUAUUUUUCCAAAGUCAGAACGAAAAGAAAAAAAAAUACAGCAUCACAAGAAAGGCGGUUUCAGUUCGUUAAAGUCAUAAAAAAAAAAGAUGAAGGAUGGAAGCUAAAUAAAAGAGCUUCUCCCUGGCCUGGAAGAGGUUUGGCAACCUUUCGUUUGUUUAUGACUUGCAUUUAUCUUUCGUUGGGCAAGAAAGAAACUGCUACAUAUUGUCGAGGCUCAUUCAUUGAAAAAAAAUCUUUCUCUUCAUUUUUGCUGUACAUGAUGGGGGAAAUGUUUAGAGUUGUUGAGGGUCUUUCUGCUUCUUUUGUAUAUGUUGUGAAAUCUGUCAUGUUGUGUGUGUUGUAUUGCAUUCUGUUAUGUAGCAAUGUAAUCUAUAAGCAUUGUGUGGUGUGUUACCUUGUAAGUCUGUAGUGUUAGGUUGUAGAAUAGUGAUUCUCUUUGGUUGUAUUAUGGUAUAGUGCGUGAUGUUGCGAAGUAGUAUAUCUGUGGUAUGUUAUGGCGUAGAGUGAUGUGAAGAAGUGUGUGAGCUAUUGUAUAUUGUGUUAUGAAAUGGUGUGUGAUAUAUUGUGUGUUGUGUUGUGAGGUAGUGUGAUUUAUUUUGUUAAGUAAUGUGUGAUCUAUUGUGUAUGGUUCUCUGAAGAAGUGUGAUUUCUGAUGGGUUGAGUUUGUACAUAUGCAAGUUCCUUUGCUGUGUGUUUUGUGUCUAGCAAUAUUAUGGCAUAUUUUGUUUUGAAUGAAUUGAAUGAUUUAUUGUGUUCCGUUUUUGUUUUAUAUAAAUUAUAUAUAAUAUAGAACAAAUAUAUUGUUUUCUAUUUUGUAUGUGUUAGUGUAUGAUAUUUUCUGUUGUUUAACUCCAGGUCAGCCUUGAUCAAGCAGGCCUAUAGUGAAAGAUGUUCCAGUUCUGCCCAUCUAGUCUUUUUGUUUAUCCAGAAAUCUAGGAAUAGAUUAUCCAACGUGCCCUUCCAUUUUAGUUCACUAGCGUGUUGAUUAAAGGAGAUUUAGCAACUAUUUCUAGAAUUUUUAUUUAUCGCGCAGAGGAUUCUUCAUUGGCUCGUGAUAUAUUUUGCAGUGUGGUCUCUGUGGAUAUGUGGAUGUGGUUAUUAUUGUUUUGUAUAUAGUGUUUUGGAUACGUUGUGUGAAGUGGUAUAAUGUCUGAUGUGCUUCUUUACUUAGCAUUUCUGUUAUGUAUUAUAUAUAAAUACAUAUACGGACUUACACCCAUAUGUAUUUUAGUGACGCUGUGAAUUGAAGCCCCCAAGCUUUGUUAUAAUGUAAUUAUAGCUGUGUAUUGUGUGUUUCAUUGAGUCUAUUCUUGUUUCAUAUAUAUAUAUAUAUAUAUAUAGUGUGUGUGGGAAAUGUUUUAUGCAGCAUGGUGCUUCUUUCAUAAUUGUGUUUCGCUCCUUAUUGUGCUCUCUCGCUGUCCAUUUCUUUUGUGUGUGUGUGUGUGUGUGUGUGUGUAUAUACAUUUAUUAUUGGCUUCAUGCUGUGGUUGAGGUAACCCCGACAAUAAUAAUAAUAUACCAACUCCAUUUAACCAAUUUGAGUGUUUGUUUUGUUUUUCGCUUUGUGGAUUUUUAGACAAUUACACACACACACACACACACACACAGUGUAUGUAUGCAGGUGUAAUACAUAUUGUGGAAUACUCCAUUUGAUGUCAUAUGCCAUACUGCUCUUUGUUUUCAUCCAUACCCUUUUCUUCGUUGUAUGUUAAUAUCUUUCGUAUUCAUUCAACUGGAUCUUUCUGAAGACUAUAUUGGUGCGUGUGUGUACUUAAAUAUAAUAUAUGCUGCCUAUAAAAUUGUACUUUCUUUGUAAUAUGCAAUGUAUACUAGCAGUUUUUUUCUCCAUCUUUUGUCUGCGUCUUUGGUGUAUUUGUGGUUAUUUUAAUUUCUCAAUACAUUGAGAAUCGGCACCCUUUUCGUUACACAUACACACUACUUUAUUUAUUGGAUACUUUUUUCCCUCAUUUGUAAACAAAUGUUCACCAAUGCACACGGAUAUACAUGCCCUCACACUCGUACCUGAAUUUAACAGAGUACAUCUUAAUUCACAUUGAUUGGAGUACAACUCAAAAAGCAAUGAAUGCAUACUAAUACUUCAGAGCUGCGACAAAAGUUUUUAUUGAAAUAAUAACACUAAAAAAAAUUCUUCAUACCGUUUUAAAUAAUCACACACACACAUAUAAUAACAUAAAUAUAUAUAUAUGUCAUCAUCAUCAUCAUCAUUUUAACGUCUACUUUCCCGAAUGGAGUUGAGGCAGAUUUCAACGCCCGGAUGCCCUUCCUGUCGCCAACCCUCACUUGUUUAGAUGCGUGACAAAUAUUUCUUCAUUGACAUGUUUAGGCAGAAUAUUGGAAAGAAAUGACACUGCUUGUAUGACAGUGACAAGCAUUUUACAACUAUCAAUGUCAGGACAAGGAGGCGCGCGCACACACAUACAUACACACACACAGCAUGCUUCAGUCAAUUUCCAUCUACCAAAUCCACUCAGAAGACACUUGCUCAAGUGCCAUGCUGUGUGACUGAGCCCAGAACCAUAUGGUUGGAAAGCAAACUUCUGACAGCCAUGGUGUGAUGAUGAUGAUGAAUACAUACAAGCAUAUAGUCUUUAGCAAGUCAAUAAAGAUCCACCUGAUUCAAAAUGAAAGAUAUCACACUGGAAGACAUUUGCCUGGAGUAGCAUGCAGUGGAACUGAACCCCAAACCACAUGGUUGGGAAGCGGACUUCUUCACCACACAGCUAUUCCUUUGUAUAUUCAUGUGUCAGUGUGUACACACAUUCAAAAAGCUUGUGCACAAGCACACUCAUAAAUAUAAGUGUGUCUAUAUAUGUGUAUGUAUAUAAAUGUAUAUGUGUAUGUAUAUAAAUGUGUGUGUUUGUAUGAGCAUGGAAAAGUGGAUGUAAAAAGAAAUGAUGAUGAUAGUAUAUAUAACGAUCUUCUGUACAGUUUUUGUGUGACAAAUUUCACUGACAAGGUCUGUCUGAAAUCCACCCUUUCCAUACGAGGUUUUUCACAACAUAGGUAAUGUUAUAUACUCAACACUGGCUAAUAUUUAACAUUGCACCAUAUCCUAACUCUCACAUAUAGUAGGUACCAGAUGACUUGAGAAAGUUACUAUAUCCAAGGGAGAUUUAUCUUUCAUCUGUUUUAAUCCCAUGAAGCUAGAACCAACUCUCUGAAGUUAGUUACUGCCAAAAGUGUAUGUCUGUGCGAGUGUUAGUGUGUGUGUGUGUGUAUAUAUAUAUAAAUAUAUAUAUAUAUAUAUAUAUAUAAUGUGUUUGUGUGUGUGUGUGUAUAUAUAUAUUUAGAGAGAGAGAUACACACACACAUAUAUGUAUAUUUAAAACAAGGAGGGAUUAGAUAAUCCAAGCAUUCACUUAAGAAGCACUCACACGAACUGCAGCUAUCUGAAAUUAUCUGAAGGAAAAUGUCUCCCAUGGAAACUUUAAGUGUCAAACAAACAGAAAAUUCCAUAUGGCUUACUCCUCUCUCAGAGUCUAAAUAUACUCCACUAUUCACUCAUGUGUUAUUAUGGUGGCGAGCUGGCAGAAUCAUUAGCACUCUGGGCAAAAAUGCUUAGAGGCAUUUCACCUAUCUUUAUGUUCUGAGUUCAGAUUCCACUGAGAUCAACUUUGCCUUUCAUCCCUUUCAGGAUUGAUAAAAUAAGUACCAGUAAAGCACUGGGGGGAUGAUGCAAUCAACUUACUCCAGUCCUCCAAAAUUCCUGGCCUUGUAGCAAAAUUUGAAAUCAUUUUAUAUAUAUAUAUAUGUAUAUAUAUAUUAUCAUUUAACUUUCUUUUUUCUAUACUGGUAUGGGUUGGAUGGUUCUACAUGAACUGAUGAGCCAGAGGGCUGUGCCAAGCUCUGAUGUCUGCUCUGGCAUGGUUUCUAUAGCUGGAUGCCCCUCCUUACACCAGAGCGUACUGGGUGCUUUUACCCUGACACUAUCACUGGUGAGGUCACCCACCAUGUACUCAUAGUUAAAUAAAGUCAUAUUACACCAGUUCAUCUGGUCAUGAGUUUACAUUCACUGCAGGUAUUUUGUUGUUGUUGUUGGGGCAAAUGCUUACUGUUGCAGUUCGUCUAGCUGUCAGAAGUAUCACAUCAUCUGAGAAUGUUCCCUGCCAUUGGCUAGUGACUUGUCCUUUGGAGGAAUACAACUCUCACUUUUCUUAAUGCUAUAUAGCCUGAUGGAAGAUACAAGUGAUUCUUUCCUACAUUUAUCAUGCCAUCUCAUUCAUUUAUGAAGACUAUAACUUCUAUGAGUAAACUUGGUAGAUGGAAACUAAAAGAAGCUUAUUAUAUCAUCAUCAUUAUCAUUGUUUUAAUGUCCACAUUUCCAUACCUGCAUGGAUCAGGAGUUUACUGAAACAAAUUUUCUGUGCCCUGGUGUCUUUCCUGUCAUCAACUGUCACCUGUUCUCAAGUAAGGUGAUAUUUUCCUAUGGCCAGAUAUGUUCUUACAGGAUAUUGGAAAUUAUUGAUGCUGCUUGUAUGAUAGUGACAAUUGCUUUACAACUGUCAUGACAAGGGAGACAUACAUAUAAGCAACAGGUUUUUUCAAUUUCUGUCUAUUAGAUCCACUCACUAGGCUUUUGUCAGCUCAAGGCUGUAGUAGAAGACACUAGCCCAAAGUGCCACGCAGUGGGACUGAAUCUGGAACCAUGUGUUUGGGAGGCAAAUUUCUUAUCACACAGUCAUGCCUGUGUGUGUGUAUAUGUCUGUGUAUGUGUGUGUAUGUGCACACGUGCAGUUCCUUGUCUUAACAUAAAGCAAUUGUUUUAAAUGAGUGUUACUAUCUUAUAAGUAGUGCCAUUCAUUUCCAGUCUUCUAUGAAAACAUGUUCAGCCUUGGGGAAAUAUUUAUUACUUUACUUUGAAACUGGUUGAUUGGCAACAGGAAGGAAGGUCACCUGGCCAUAGAAUAUCUGCCUCAAGAAAUUCUGUCCUAUCCAUGCAAGCGUGGAAAACUGGACAUUAAAACAAUAAUAAGCAUUACCUCUUCUUUCUUGACUCAUUUCUAAAAUUAAACAAAACGACAAAUGAUUUGCAUUACACCCUUCACAAUAACCCAGUGUGUAACUCCAUGUACCCACAUAUUUAUACUCCACCACUACAAAUAGAGCUGAAGCUUUUAUGUAGUGAUUCAACUGGCUAGAAAUAGCUGUCAAAUAUCCUUUAAUUUAUCAUCAUCAUCGUUUAAUGUCCGUUUUCCGCGCUAGCAUGGGUUGGACCGGGUCUGGGAAGCCAGGGGCUGCUCCAGUCUGAUCUGGCAGUUUCUACUGCUGGAUGCCUUUCCUAACGCCAACCACUCUGCGAGUGUAGUGGGUGCUUUUUAUGUGCCACCUGCACAGGUGCCAGGGGGGUCCGGCAUCGGACACGAUCGGUUGGUGCUUUUAAUGUGCCACCGGCACGGAAGCCAACCAAGGCAGUGCUGGCAUCGGCCACGUUCGGAUGGUACUUUUUAUGUGCCACUGGCACAGAAGCCAGUCAAAGCGGCGCUGGCAACGGCCACGUUCGGAUGGUGCUUUUUAUGUGCCACCGGCACGGAUGUUAUCAAAUUUUUUUUAAAAAACACACAAAAAGGACACAAUGAACAAUUGUACUCCUAGAUAUACUACAUCAGAAUAUGAAUGGAAAGAUAACUGCAGCAAUACCUCCAAUAAUAAGUUUUCUCCAUAAGGGCUGACCUGGAGUUAAACAACAUGAUUGCUUGUCCUCAAGGAUUAGAUAUUAGUAUGGGUGUGAAGUGUUUAUUUACCCACACCUAUAUACAUUGUCAGGUGGCAUUUUUUUAAUUCGUCUUAUCUUUGUUUUAAGCAUCUGUGAUUACCAGUAGUGACAACAACUUUGAUGAUGAUGAUUACAAUAAAUAAACCAUGUUGUUAGUUACUUUAGAAUUAGGCGUAAAGCCAGCUUUGAUGGUGUCCAGGCAAUAAUAAUGCUUCUAGUCAUUGAGCUAUGUGCUUCACUACACACAAAACAAACACACACACAACAUAACCCUGAAGGGAAGAAAGGUGAAGUUCACCAUGGCAGUAUUUGAACUCACUGACAUGAGACAUCAAAGUGAUUAGGUUUGAUAUGGAAUACAGUCUACUUACUGCAGUAGUAGUUGUGAUGGUGGUAGCGGUAUUGGUAGUGGUGAUGAUUAUGAAAAUGGUAUUGAUGAUGUUAGUGGUUGUAGUAGUAUUAAGUGUUGGUGGUAAUAGUAUAAGUUAUGGUGGUGUUGUAAGGAAUGGUGUUAAUACAUGUUUUUGUUUUUAAUAAGAUAUGGAAAAGAAUCUGAAUACUGUAAGGCAUUUAGUCUGGUGCUGUACCAUUUCUGCCACUAGUUAGAGGAAUUUAUUGGAAUAAGAAGAUGAAGAAAAAGAAGAAGAAUCACAAAUUUUGGCAAAAGGCCACAAUUUUUUUAGGGGAAGGUGAUGAUGUUAAUAAUGAUGAUGAAGUACCAGGCAGUGGUUCUUCUAAUCUUAACUGAUUGGAAGCAUUAACAUGUACAUAUUUGCCUUGGUGAAAAAAUGGGCUACAGUAAAUAUUUUGCUCAGUACCACAGAUUUGCUUGUCAGUUGCUUGACCAUAACCAGUUGGGCAUGUCCCUUAGUGGUUGAUAAUAUGUGCAUUUCUGAUCACAAGCAGAGGUAGUGGGGGAGCAUCAUAGCCAUGUGUUGAGAAGAAUUCUUUGGGGUUUGGAUAAUUCACCUUUGGAAACAUGGAUGUUUCCUUCAUCAUCCUUAAACCACCCUUAUCCAGGGACCUUUUGAGUGGGAUGGGCUACUCAACCUAAAGAAAAUUCUGACUGGGCCCUGCCUGCAAGGUCAUGCACUGUUUAUCUUGAUAUGAGGUCAUCAUGUCAUGCACAUGUGGUUGUGAUGCAUAUGCCUGAUGUACCCUUAUAAGGUAGGUAGUCAUGAUAGGCAAAUUGGACAUAUUGUCACUUUGAUGGCAUGCACUGCUUUCCCACUUAUUAAUAAUAAUAAUAAUAAUAAUAAUAAUAAUAAUGGUUCCAAAUUUUUCCAAAUGGGUAGCCAUUUUGUGGGAGGGGACGUGUCAAUUACAUCGACCCUAGUGUUCAACCUGGUACAUCGAUCCCGAAAGGAUGAAAGGCAAAAUCGACCUCAGUGGAAUUUGAACUCAGUAUGUAGUGGUAGACAAAAUAUUGCUAAGCAUUUCGCCUGGCAUGCUAACAAUUCUGCCAGCUUGCUGCCUUAAUAAUAAUAAUCCUUUCUACUAUAGGCACAAGGCAUGAAAUUUUGUGGGAGGGUGGUAGUUCAUUACAUUGACCCCAGUACUCAACUGGUACUUAUUUUAUAGACCCCAAAAGAAUGAAAGGUAAAGUUAACCUUGGUAGCAUUUGAACUCAAAACGUAAGACAGACAAAAUGCUUAGCAGCAUUUUGUCCAACAUGCUAAUGAUUCUGCUGGCUGCCAGCUUAAUAAUAAUAGUAAUAAUAAUAAUAAUAAUAAUAAUAAUAAUAAUAAUGGUUUCAAAUUUUGGCACAAGGUCAGCACUUUUGGCAGAGUGGGUAAGUUGAUUAUAUUGAUCCCAGUGCUCAACUGGUACUUAUUUUAUCAACCCGGAGAAGAUGAAAGGCAACAUUUGAACUUAAAAUGUGAAGUCAGAAGAAAUGCUGCUAAGCAUUUUGUCCAGUGCAGUAACAAUUCUGCCAGCUCCACCACUUGUCACAAAGCCUGCAAUUUUGGGGGUGGGAUUAAGUUGAUUACAUCGGUCUGAGUCCUCAACUGGUACUUAUUUCAUUGACCCCAAAAGGAUGAAAUGCAAAGUCAAGAUAGGAAGAAAUUGAGCUCAGAAUGUUAUAACAGAUGAAAUGUCACUCAGCAUUUUGUACGACGUGCUAAUGAUUCUACCAGCUCACCACUUUCAUUAUCAUCAUCACCAUUAUUUAAUGUCCACCUUCCAUGCUAGAAUGAGUUGGAUGGUUUGACUGAGGACAGGCAAGCCAGGCUCCAAUCUGAUCUGGCAAGGUUCCUACAGCUUGAUGCCCUUCCUAAUGCCAGCCACUCCAAGAGUGUAGUGGGUGCUUUUAACGUGCCACAGAUGGGAGCUGGUCAGGAGGCACUGGCAUCAACCAUGUUCGGAUGGUGCUUUUUACAUGCCACUGGCAUGGGAGCCAGUCAGGGGGCAAUUGUUUCAAAUUUAGGCACUAGACCAGUAGUUUUGAGUGUUGAGACAGAUCAGUUUCAUCAAUCCCAGUACUUUACUGAGCACUUUAUCUUAUUGCCCUUGAAGCAAUGAAUGGCAAAGUUAACUUCAGCAGGGUUUGAACUUAAAACUUAAAGAGCUGAGAGAAAUACUUUAAAGCAUAUUUCCAGUGCUCCAACAGUUCUGUCAAUUUACUGCUCUCAAAAAAGUGAUGAUAUUUGAUUUCUUGAUUUUUUUUUUUGACACAAGGCCAGCAGUUUUGAGGGUAGGGGUUGCUCAAUAAUAAUAAUAAUAAUAAUAAUAGUUCUUUCAAAUUUUGGUUAAAGGCCAGCAGUGUUGGUGUUGGGGUAAGCCUCAGUGUUCAACUGGUACUUAUUUUAUCAACCCUGAAAUGUAAAUUGAUACUGUUUAGCCCACUGGUUCUCAACCAAGGUUCAUAUGGCCCUUGGGGGUCCAUGUAAGAUUUUGUUAAAAUUUAUCUGCAAUAAAUUGGUUAUAAUUAUUUUUAUACAAUUCCUAAUAUUAUAAAAAUAUAACAGGAUUUUUUUAACAUCCAGUGGCUAGGAGGGUACAUCCAAAUAAAAUAGUAAUCAAAGGGUUCCAAAGGUAAAAAAUGAUUGAGAAACACUGGUUUAGCCUUUUACUGAUUUUGGCCUCCUAGUUAUAAAGGUCUUUCUUAUAAAGAAUUUUGAUGACCUUUUUUUUUUUGUACUUCUGAUGAUGACAAUAUAGUCUUAGAGAGCUCUAGCUAUGAAUUAAAGCACCAGUAACAAUGGCAACAUGAACUGUAGUAUCAGCAACAAUAACAUCAAUAAAAGCAUCAUUUAACAUUAUCAGCAUUCUAGCCAGCUCUAUCAUAAUACUAAGUUGAGAUAGUGUUGACUACAGCAGUUAUUUUUAUUGAGGCCUUUAUUGUCUCUUUCUUUCUGCCUCUGUCUGACUGACUCUCUCUCUCUCUCUCUCUCUCUCUCUCUCUCUCUCUCUCUCUAUCUAUCUAUCUCUCUAUCUAUCUCUCUAUGUCUUUCUCUUUCUGACUGUCUGUCUUCAUAACAAGCUAUAAUCUCUCUCUCCCUCUCUCUCUCUCUCUCUCUCUCUCUCUCUCUCUUUUUCACAAAUGGCAAAACUGUCUUAUAUAUCUGCUGGCGAUAUUCUCUCUCUGACACACACACAUACAUGCACACAAUCACAUAUGCCUGAAUGUUCAAUAUGUAUCUAUCAAAGUAAUAAUUAUCUCACUACACUGGUGAGAAUGAUAUAAAUGGAAUCAAGGUGAAGAGCUGCAACAUUUGUCACCAGGGUAUCCAUCAUCUGAGUAAUGAAACCCUUAUUGAUUUUGGUGGUGUGGGGGAAACAGUUGUGAUGUUUAUGACAUUUCCAAAACCAUUUGUAAAAUAAGGUAAGGAACUGUAAUGGAAAUUGAACCGGGAUAUUCUUGAUAGCUAAGUGAACUGAGGUAAUGUAGAACUAAGAGUCCUAUUCCAAAUACAGGUAGAAAUAAUACCUGCAUAGGUUUUGAACUAACUGAAGACCAUCUAUCUUUUAUCAUUUUACUUGUUUCAGUCAUUAGACUACAGCCAUGCUUCAAGAAUUUUUAGUCAAAUGAAUCGACCCCAGUACUAUUUUUAAGCCUGGUACUUAUUCUAUUGAUCACUUCUGCUGAACCACUAAGUUACAGGGAUGUAAACACACAACAUAGGUUGUCAAGCGGUGAUGGGAGACAAGCACACAUACACUUAUAUAUAACGAACCUCCACCAACUAUUCUGCCUUUAUAAUUGUGCACACCUUUCAAUGCCAUAAAGUCUGCAAAUCUAACGGAGGCCUCAAAAGACAUUUUAAGAUCCACAAAGAUCAGAACUUAACUGCAGCUCUUGGUGGUCCAAAUUGGAUGUGCAAACUAUGUAGGUGUCUUUUCAAUACAUUGUCUGGUUUUAAAAAGCCACAUCAGAUGCCAUGAUGGAUCUAAAGUGUAGGUACAAGAGGUGGUCAGACUCUGCAUAAGGAGUAGACAGCCACCAUAUAUACACAUCCACGUACUGGGUUUCUUUGAGUUUCUGUCUAUCAGAUCCACUCACAAGGCUCUAGUCAACCAAAAGCUAUAUUAUAAAAGACACUUGCCUAAGCUGUCAUGCAGUGGAACUGAACCCAGAACCAUGUAUUUCGAAGCAAGCUUCUUACCACACAGUCACACCACUUUUCUAUCUCAUUCUUUUCGAAAAUGAAUUCAACAUCAAUAUAUUUUAUUACUGUAUUCAUUGGAUGGCAUUAACUAAGCACUCAGCAAAUAGAGUUGAAAUACUAUAGUGAAUGGGUACUCAACUACCUGACCUUAGGCUGUGAGUUCAAAUCAGCUACAGGUAUUUUGUUAGGCUUCUGGGCAAAAUACUUUGGCCCACAUCACCUCCCCACUUAUCAGCUGGAAGAAUAUGCAGCGAAUAAUCUGGAAACAUCAAUUGAGUUAGACCUUAAUCCCAUGAAGUCUUAAAAAGCUCUUUGGGAAUUAGCUGGUAUUUACAAAUUUGCUCUUUCUGUUCACUGAAUAAAUACUGAAGGAAAUGUUCUAAAUUCUCUGCCUUGUAUGUAGGGAUGUAAAAAAUAAAGUAACUGAAAAGAUGAAUGGAAACAGCCUUAACCCUUUUCUUUACCAUAUUUAUUUUGAGAUGCUCUGUGUUGCUUUCAAUUAUUUUAAAUAUAACAAAGAAUUUAGUAAAAUAACUUAGUUAUCAUUAAGCUAGUGUUAGGAAUAUAAAUUGCAACUAAUGUUUGGUGGUAUAUUUUGAUGCAAAACUUAUGAAAACAAGACAUUUGUACUACAGAGCCAGAGCCGGUUUUGGCUGGGUUAGUAACGAAAGGGUUAAGUCUCUAAAUUUGAAAGAUAUACAGAAAAAAAAUAUAUAUCUGUGAAUAACUAUUGACAUCUUGUUUAUUGAAUCACAAGGGGUUUAAACAGAUAUUUAAAAUAUAUAGGAAAACAUAUUUCACUUUCUUGUGGAAUGGUAAUAAUAUCAACUGUUUCUAACAUAAGCUCGAGGUCAGAAAUUUGUAGAGAGGGAUUAGUCAAUUACAUUGACCCCAGCACUUGAUCAGUACUUUAUCUCAUUGAUAUUGAAGGGUUGAAAGGCAAAGUCUAUCUCAGUAAUUUGAAUUGUAAACAUAAAUUGCCAGAAGAAAUGCAGCAUGAUAUUUUAUUUAAUAUUCUAAUAGUUCUAUCCAUAGCUCUUUUACUACUACUACGACUACUACUACUGCUACUGCUGCUGCUACUGCCACCACCACCACCACUACUGCUACUGCUGCUACAAAUAAUGUAAUAAUAAUAAUGACCCUUUCUCCUAUGGGCACAGUUCCUGAAAUUUGAGGGAGGGGCUAGUUGAUUACAUCGACCCCCAAUGCGCAACUGGUACUUAUUGAUCCUGAAAGAAUAAAAGGUAGAUGACCUCAGCAGAGUUUGAAGUCAGACAGAUGAAAUGCCACCAAGCAUUUUGUCUCAGUAAAAGAUGGGAUGGAACACGUUUACUUGUAGGUCUACUUAACUAAUACUUAUCUAGUAUUAACAAACUGUACAAUUACUGAUGAGAGAGUCUCUACAUGGUUGCUUGACUUGGUAGAAAUAAAAGCCACAUCAUAUACUUUUAUCUUAAAUUUACCUACAUUAGAUAAUGUAGUCCAACAUACUCAUUAAAAGGUAGGCUGGUCACAGCUGGAAUGCUUUUGAUCACAGGUCUGAUGAAUAUCAGGGUUGACCUGGGGUGAAACAACAAUGACACUACCAGCAUCUACCUGACUGCUUCACCUUCUAGAAAUAACAGCCUAAUUGUUUUUUAAAUUACACUCUAAUGCUUAAAAGAAAGAAGAAACACAUUAGAUGAUGUAUUCCUAGAUAUAUUGUAUGAGACAAGUUGAUCGUGGCUGGGUUAAGGCUUAUGUUGGACUACACAACACAACAACAACCUGAAGUAAAUAUGUUUUGAUACAUCAAACAUGUUUACACAUGCUACACUGUUUGGUUACUAUGCAGUAUAGCAUUCCAGAUAUAAUAUUUAUCUAGAGCACCAUACUAAAGAGAAGACUGUCAGAAGUAAUGUGACCAAGAUUCUCUUCAUCCUUGGAUCGUUUAACAAACUCAUUCAAUAAGAAAUUUGACCUUAGGAACAACUUGAUGUAAAUGAGUGAGUAUUUAUACAAGAAUUUUAAUUUAUUUUUUGUUCAGUGAAAUACAGUUUAUUAUCAAUUCAUUUCUUUAUUGUUGUAGUGCAUCUGAGCACUAUAUACAAUUAUUUCAUUAUAUUAUAUGAGGAAGGAAGGGCAUUGGGCCUUAAAACACUGCUUCAGAGAAACUAUCUAAUUUGCACAUGAUAAUGAUAUCAUUAAUUUCUGUUCAUCAUCAUCAUUGUCACCACCAUCAUUAUCAUUUUAUGUCUGCUUUCUGUACUGGUAUGAGUUGGAUGGUUCAAAAUGAUCCAACAAAUUGCAGGACUGCAUCAUGCUCCAGUUUUUUUAGUUUUGGGAUAGUUUCUACAGCUGAAUGCCCUUCCUAAUGCUAACCACUUUAUGGAGUGUAUUGGGUGCUGCUUUUUCCAUGCCAUUAAUACUAGCAAGGUCAUCGUGUAACUCAGAAGACCGUACCCCCCCAACUCAAAGGAGAAUGGGAGAGACAGAGAGUGAUGACAAAGGGCAAAGUAUGAUGAGAGAAACAGAUUUAUGGACAAGAGAAUUUGAAAUUCAUUUUAUUGUUUUCUUUUUUUGUUUUCUUUUUUUAUUUUACAAAUACACUAAAUUCUUUGUCAUCCCCAGUUUCAAUAACAAUUGUUAUAUUUCAAAACAAGACUGGUCUGGUGCUAAAUAACAAUGCAUAACAUAUAAGGUAAAGAGACAAUAACCUCAAUUAAAGUACUGGAAUACUGGCCAUAUAUAGUUAUAAUUUCAAAUUUUUUUACUGUGUUGUGUUUCUGAAUAAAGUUUCUAAUUCUGUUUGCUUCAGUUUGUACUACCGAACCAAUGUAAGUGCCACUCCUGUUUCACAUUUGAAGUGGGCUAGUUCUAGGAAGAUCCAUACAGCUGCAAAAACAAUUGCUCUAACAAAUAAUCCCAUUUAUGUAAGCUAGGAAAAAUUGUAUCUUGUUGUUGAUUAAGCAAACCUAUGAUGAGAGACAUUCCAACCAUGGUAAUCCUGUCUUUUUAAAAGUUUCUAGAACUAAAUCAUCUAGUGUACACUACUGGAUGCUACUUCUAGCAGUUUGAGCAACUAUGCAGAGGCUCCCUUGGGAAAAUGCAAAACUAUUAAUAAUAAUAAUAAUAAUAAUAAUCCUUUCUACUAUAGGCACAAGGCUUGAAAUUUUGGGGGAGGGGGAUAGUCGAUUACAUCGACCCCCCCGUACAUAACUGGUACUUAUUUAAACGAACCCGAAAGGAUGAAAGACAAAAUCAACCUCAGUAGAAUUUGAACUCAGAACAUAAUGAUUCUGCCUGCUCUUCACCACAACGGCAGCAGUAGUAGUAGUAGUAGUAGUAGUAGUAGUAGGGAUUUGUCCUAUUGGCAAGGGUCAUAGAUUGCUAGAAGCAGACAUAGUUUACUGAACUAAACUUAGGACCUGUCUAUGUGAUCACUCAGCCUGCUAGAAAUAGCAGUCAGGUCUUUCUUAAAUCAUACUCCAAAAUCUUAAAUACAAGAAGGUACAUUAGAAAAUGUCAUGCUAAAUAUCCCUAAAAAAAAAACAGGAUCAUCCAGUCAAAAUGCCAUAUUUCUAUCUUUUAGUCAGGAGGGGAGGUAGUGCCCAUGACCCUUUACAGAGCAUCUGAGAUUAGCAGGUGGAAGAGGAGAAAGUAUCCUUAAACCAAAGCCCUGACCUAAAUGCAUGCAAUGUAGUGGACUAAGGGCACCCAGUAUACAAGGUGAUGGUUUUAAACCAGGUGACAGAUUAACUCUUCCACCCAAGUGGCCAUUGCAGGAUUUGAAUUCAGAAUACAAAGAGCCAGAACAAAUAUUACAAGGCAUCUAAUCCAAUUAUCUUAUACUUCUGUUAACCCACUGCCAUGGAUUGGUAAUUUUUUUUAUCCCCCACCCUUCAAGAAUAAAUGGCAAAAUUGACCUGGGUCCAUUUGAAGUUAUCCAACAUGAACACCAAAUAUAUGAAAGACAAAGUUUGGAUUUGAACAUGGGGCUCAGUGAGAGGACACUGAUUCUGCUAAUCCACUGCCCUAUUAUGAUAUUAAUCUUAACAACUUUUUAAUAUAAGAACAGUUAAUAGAAGUUUUUUUAAGUGUUUUCACAUAGUGAUCCUGUUAGAUUCCCUCUUAUAGAUAAGAGUGGAACACCAUUGUGUUUAGCAUUUAUACUGUUGUUGCAUCAUUUAUUUAUUCCCGUUGAACUUAACAGUGCAAGCCAUUGAAACAUUCAUCUAUUAUGUAGUGCUCCUGCUACCUACAGCUGUAAACUAACAUUUCCUCCCUCUCUCCAUGUAACUUAAAAUUAAUAAUGAAUUAGUGAGUUUUGCCAAUGUUUUGCUCUUUGGGCUCAGUAAGGUGAGCCAAUGAAACACUCAUCAAUUAUGCAGUGCUCCAGCUACUGACAUCCCCCACCAUUCACCUUCAUUUAUAACAUCAUUUUUUUUGUACCCUACCAUAACCCCUUCCACAAUUCUACAAAGGAAAUGGGAUGUUUUGAACUCCUUCCUCUUUGUACUAUUCUGGGUAGCACCUGAUGGCAUAGAACAUUGUAUGCUGUGUAUACAGGUUGAAGGUGGUGGCCAGGUGAAGCCAGUAAAACCUGUAGCAGACACCAAGUUCAAUCCUGCAAGUCAGCAGUGUGUAUGGAGACAGGAUGUGUCUGCUGUUCGUACUUCCUAGCUACUCCCUUUCCCCCACCUCUCCCUCCAUCCACUUUUAACACAAACUCCACCACCACCCUCCGGAUGUUUGCCCUGUAAGGACACCCAAUACUGAAAAUAUUUACAUACACGGUUCCCCCACGUCCACCCCAGCACUUCUUAUGAUGGAGGUGGAGUGAGUCGGUUCCCUUCCUUCUCUCUUCCUUUUUCUAUCUGUCGCUUUCUCUUUGCCACCCCCAGGAUCUCUCUAUCUAUUGCAGUCUCCCUCUUCUCCCUUCUCUCUCUGUCAUAUGUCUCAUUCUGUCCCUCCCGGUCUCUCUCUCUCUCUCUCUCUCUUUGAGUGUGUGUUUGUUAUAUUUCCGCCUCCCUUUGUUUCCAUUUUUCUUUCUCUCUGUCUUUCUCUACCAUUCACACUUGGUUUAUGUUAGCUUGUGUAAGUAUGUAUUUGUUCCUAAAUGUAUUUUAUUUCUCUCCCCCCCCCACUCUCUGUUAAAACAUGCAUGUGUAUCAUGUAUGAGUUUUUUUUCUGUAUCAUCUGUUUUGUCUGUAUAUCAAUGUUUUCUGUGUAUUUGUGUGAAUUCUACAUCUCCUGCAUGCUCCCUCUUGCCUCUCCCCUCGUAACUCUCAAUGGCCCUUGGUGGUGCUCACUUAUCCACCUCAUUUCAACCCCUAGACCUAAUCGGCCCUCCUAUGCUGUGACAAUAUUAUUUCUAACCAAAUGACCAGUCAAGAGAGAGAGAGAGAGAGUGUGUGUGUGUGUGUGUGUACGUGUGUGUGCAAACAAUAUGGCUGAGAAAAAAGUACCUCUGGGGAGAAUCUGCAUGCUAAAUAACACAUAUGGUAGUCUUACAUAUGUAAUAUAGUGAGCUGAAGAAGUUGCAUUGACAUUCAUAAUUAACAUUACUACAUUCCAUAUAUAUAUAUAUAAAGAGAGAGAGAGAGGUGUCUUAUGUGUAUUGUUCAUUUCUAAUUCUUGCUAAUGAAAUUCGCAAGACUAUCGUAAGUUUCUCAACUCAGUACAUAACCUAUAUGAAACCAAUAUAUUUGUAUUUAGUACACACGAACACUCCUCUGAAAUACUUUCCCCUCAACCAUACUGUUGAUAUUCAUAAUCCAUGUGCUGUAUCUACAGGUAUCAGUGAUAAUGACCUCCCCAUUCCAAAGUCUAAAGAUUCCUGGUUUUUCUUGAGAAAGGUACAGGAAUUGUUUAUUGUUUUCCUUUGCCUUCUGUUUGCUGACUGUUUACUCCACUAAUCUCUUGUUCUCCCUAACUUAUCCUUGAGGCACAGGUCCUUAACCCUUAGCAGGAGGACCAGUUCAUGUGAUAUCAGUGCUCCUCUGUAUAUCACUGGGUCUAUGCAACACUUGUCUUGGGGACCAGCCUGCCUCUGAAACCUGUAUUUGUUAUCCACGGGACCAUCUUCUGCUAUUUGUCCUAUUACUAAUCUCCUUGAUAGAACCCUAGUUAUAGGUUAGAUAGUCACCCUGGGGAAGAGCAGAACUGGAAAUGUAGUGACUAAGGAUUAACCCCAGUGCUCCUAAUCUGGAGCCACACCAUCAAAUGCCAUUUAAUGUCUUUUCCAGGACAAUUAUAUACUGAUCACCUCUAGGUUUUGCCAACUAAGUAGAAUAUGCUAUGCUGAGGAGCUAUAAUAAUACUGAAACAUGUUUGUUACUUUUAUAAUUGUGUUUAAAAACAAAAGUGGCUCCCAUCUGUAUUGUCUUUACUUUCCAAAAAAUUCAGUUAGUAGAGCUACCCCAUGCACUUGUUUUUAUUUAUUUAUCUAAUUAUUAAACACCCUACCACUAGGAGUUUUUUUGUUUGUUGAUUGUAAGUAUAAUAUCAAUUAAUCAAAGUUUUCCAACUCACUGUAUUACAUAUAUAAGAUUCUGCUGCGUGUGUGAGACGGUGAUGUGUUUGUAUGUUGGAGUGUGUUUGUGGUGUGAUACGUGUUUAAGUAUGUGUCUGUCUCUGACAUAUGGUAUGUUUUUAUGUGUGGAAGUGUUUGUAUGUUUGUGAGGCAGUGGUGAAAUUUUGUGAACUGUGGGCGUGUGUAUGUGUAUAUGAGGUCUUGUGUGUAGAAUGUAUGUAUUUGUGAUGUGAUAUUUAUGUGUCUAUCUGGUUCUGAUGCAUGCUGUGCUUUUGUGUAUGGAUGUGUUUGUGAUAUAGCUGUAUGACAUGUAUCUAUACAUACACACACAGUUAUACAUAUGCUCAUACAUAUUUAUCCUAAACACACAUCUGUGCAUACUGCAUUCAUACAUUCAGAUAUAUACUCUCUCACUCCCUUUCUCUCUCUCUCUCUCACACACACAUUCACACUCACUCACGCAUGCAUUCACACUUACACAUACACACACACACACAUGCACACAUACACACACAACUAGUGAUAGAUGACUAAAUGUCACAGGAAUGUCAUUUAUAGAUGAACACAGACAGAUAAACACUUAAGUUGACAUCUCCAGCCCACCCUCCUCUCAGUUUACACCUCCAUUGUCUCUCUCUUCACAAUACCCCUCACCCAUCACACACCUGUAAGAAUGAUUUCAGAACAUUAACUCUUUGGCAUCAUUUCACACUUAUCUCACCUACAUGGGUGGGUAGAGUAAGUAGUAAGAAAGGAAAGGAGAGGAAGGGAAAGUAUGAAAGAGCUGGAUAAAAAGAGAGACAUGAAAAUGAGGAAAGAAAAAGAGAGAUUGAGAGAAAAUAGAAGAGUCUCAAGAUAGUUAGAUUGGUAGAGAAACUCGGAUGUCUGUAUAUUGUGUGCACAUUAUAAUAUAUAUAUAAAAGACCCCUUGGUCAUGAGUGACCAUGGGUUUGCACCUAGAGAGUUACCCUCUGAGGCACAAGUCUGGGCAAGGUUGUUUUAUGGAAGACCAGUAUCAUACCGGCCUCCCCUCUCCACGCCACCAGUGUUAUCCAAGGGAAAGACAAAGGUCGAUACAGCUUGGCACCUGUGACAUCGCAACUCAUUUCUACAGCUGAGUGAACUGGAGCAACGUGAAAUAAAGUGUCUUGCUCAAGAACACAACACGCAGCCCGGCAGGCUCACACCUCACGAUCGAUAUAUAUAUAUGUGCAGGCAUGUCUGUGUGGUAAGAAGCUUGCUUCCCAACCACAUGGUUCUGGGUUCAGUCCUUGGGCAAGUGUCUUCUGCUAUAGCCUUGGUCCACCCAAAGCCUUGUGAAUGGAUUUGGUAGAUGGAAACUGAAAGAAGUCCAUUGUGUGUCUGUGUUUGUCCUCCAACCAUCACUUAACAAUCAAUGUUGGUGUGUUUACAUCUCUGUAACUUAGUUGUACGGCAAAAGAGACCAAUAGAAUAAGUGCUAGGCAUGCAAAUCGAUUUCUUCAACUAAAACCCUUUAAGGCAGUGCUCCAGCAAGGCCGCAUUCAAAUGAUUGAAGCAAGUAAGAGAAUAUAUAUAUAAUCAUCAUCAUCAUUAUACUUCCAUGUUCUAUGCUAGCAUGGGUUGAACAGUUUUACAGGAUCCAGUGUAUCCAAGGACUGCAUUGAGCUCUGUUGUCUGAUUUGGCAUGGUUUCUGCAGCUGCAUGCCCUUCCUAAUGUCCAUCACUUCACUGAGUACUUUCUUCCUGCCAUCUACACUAUUGCGGUUGCCAUGCAGUUCACAUGACUACAAACUGUGGGUUGAUGGUGGUGGUGGUGAUGGGGGUCAGCUUCCUGCUAGGGGAUAAGGGGAUUACUAUGAGAAGGGAAGGGCUAGAGCAGGUUCUUGUAGAGGGAUCUGCAUACCUACUCACACCUAGUAGAGGAAGGGGGUGGGGGACAGAAAGAGAAAGUGACUAGUAAGAGCUGCCAGAGAUAGAUAAUGGCAAUAAGGUGAUCAGGUGGCCCCACAAGACUCAAGCUGAGUAGAAGUGAGGGAUCAGUUAGUAAGAUUGUAUGGAAGGAGAAUGUGGGGAUAGCAGGCAGAUGGCCAAAAUGGGUAGUGUGGUUGAACAAGAACAAUAAACUGGAGAAGAUAGGGGAUACAGAAGAGAGAGUGGGGGUGAGGCAAGUGGCAAGAGUAUUGAGAUGAUGCAGUUACCAGGGGGAGGACAAGAGGAGAUGAUAUGGUUGGGUUGUCUCUAGAGGCUGAAGGGAGAGAGAAGGGGUAAGCAUAAUACAUGAGAGGUGAGCAGAGAGUCACUGUAAUGAAACUGGAGAGCACAAAACAUAGAACUUCCUGAACUCAGUUUUGUUGAAGACUAUGAGUCUUUUCAAGAUUGCCAGAGAUCCCAGUCUUUAAUCAUCUCUUUCAUCAAGCCCAAGGUCCUAAAGUCAGCCAUGUUUUUCUGCAUUUCCCUCUUCUGCAAGUUCUAGCCACAUUUAGGAUCAGCACUUCUUUAUACAGCUGUCCUCAUCUAUAUGCAUCAUAUGUCCAUACCUGCACAGUCUUCUUUCUCAAACGCAACAUCUGCUUCCUCUUGUGCCCAGUUUUUCACUCAGCACCUUUGUACUGAUUUUUUCAUGCACGCAUGCACAAAUACAUUGCACAUCAACUGGAGCAUGUUUGCUUUAAUGAUGUGCUCAGCAUGACUACAGUCCAGUGACUGAAACAAGUAAAAUAUAAGAUAUAUAUAUAUGUAUACAUGUGUGUACAUAUAUAUAUAUAUAUAUAUAUAUAUAUAUUAUAUGCGUGGUCGGUUACCAGAGUCAUUAAAAAGUCAAAAGGAUUUGUGGCAUUAUUUGUUCUAACGCUUUCAUUCAAAUCAUACACCAAGGCCAGCUUUCAGAGUCAAUACAUAUAGGUCAGUGCUUGUGCAGUCUUCUUUCUCUCCAGCUGUUACAUCCUAAAUGUUCCACUGAAUCUAAUGGGAGGAGGUCAAGAGGUUGUCGCAAUUUGCUUUAAUCUAUAUGUGAAUUUGAUGGUAAUUCCAGUGUAAAAUUCAUUACAUUUCUUACAUGUGAUUUUAUACACCAUGUAGUACCAAAGACAUAAAACCAUGUGUAGCAAAUGUAAUAAAUUCUACAUCAAAAGUACCAUAAGACUAGUUUACAUAUGGCUUAGCCCCUUCGGUCCAGCUGGUACAUAUUUGUACCAGUCAAAAAUUUUACAACCCACAUCUUUAAAAUUCCCAUUCUAUGUGAUGCAGUAUAAUACCACACUGGUUUUUCUAGUAAGUAUGUAGCACCUGGCAUAUAAUUGGAAUGUAUGACACUAUAAUGACUGUUCAAAAGCUUGCAUGCAUUCACCCCACCCCCACUCCAGCGCUAUUACCGACUGUUUUUAAGUGUUUAUUAUUGGUUCUCAUGUUUUGGUAAGUUAUUCAUAACAUUUUCUUCACUGUAAACAUAUUUACUUAAUCAUAAACAUAUUGUGCAUAGUUUAUAAGCAUUGGAUAGUAAUAUUCUUGCAACAAUGUUGCAAUACAUAUUUCUAAAAGUAAAUAAUUUUGACUGGCACACACCUGUACCGUUGUGGUUUUGUAUAGGUAUGCACUUGUACUGUUGUAAUUUGUUGUAUAGCUAAGAUUGUACCAGUUGUGUUAUAAGACUGUUCUAUAGAGAAACUUCUUGUUGUGAAUCAAACAUACACAUACAAUUUUUUCAAUUAACUUUCGUAUUACUCCCUAAUAUUUGAAUUUUAAAUUAUUGUUUUUUUGCAAGAUUCACGCAGUAUUUUGAUACAACUGGUAUGUACAUGGUACUUCAUCUAAAUACAUUGGUACAUGCAUGGUAGAUUAAAAGACCCAAAUGGUACAAAUGUGUACCAGACUAAAAAUAGUGUCCACAUAACUGAUACCAUAAUAAACCAUCUAAUAAGCAUCUACACUAUAUAGUUUUACCAAAAUUUUAGAGAAAAUACAUGCAAAUCUUGAGAAAAGAAUUCCAGGUUGAAAGGGUUAAGGAACACCUCUAUGCUAAAGGUUCACUCAUCAAAUAACACCUAUGGAAAUGCCACACCCAAGACAUCCAAGUUUCCAUUGAAGCUACAGAAAGAAACAUUGGUAACUUGAGAAUAAGGGAAGCUAUUUUAAUUAACAAGUAGUUCCCAUGAAUUAAUAACAGACCUGAACUACACGCAGCUGGUUGGGUACCAUAGCAACACAAAACAAUUUUUCUCACACACACACACUACAAAGUAGAGAAAUCAGCUAUUAAUGACAUUUCUCUGUUUAUUUCUUGAAGAAAAGGUCCUAACCCUGAAAUAUUAAAAUACCAGAUAAUAGUACUAACUAUUGACCUGUAUUAUCAAUUUUUCAUACUUUGCAUUGUUUUGGCUUUAAAGAAAAUAUUCUCAGAAUUGUUUAAAAUAAAUAGACAAUAUAAUAUCUAUCAGUUGAUGCAUAGUACCUCUGGAUCCCCUCCAUUUUCUUCUUCCCAUAUAUAUAUAUAUAUAUCAUCAUCAUCAUCAUCAUCAUCGUUUAACGUCCGUUUUCCGCGCUAGCACGGGUUGGACGGUUCGACCGGGGUCUGGGAAGCCAGGGGCCGCUCCAGGCUCCAGUCUGAUUUUGGCAGAGUUUCUACGGCUGGAUGCCCUUCCUAACGCCAACCACUCCGUGAGUGGAUUGGGUGCUUUUUACGUGCCACCUGCACAGGGGCCGGGGGGGUCCGGCAUCGGUCACGAUCGGUUCGAGCUUUUAACGUGCCAGGGACACGGGGGCAACGGGAUGCGGGGUAGAGUUGAGUUGGGGGGGGGUCCAGCUGAGAAAGGUUUCACCAGUGAAAAGAGAGGGAGAGAUAGUAAAGGGGUGCGGGUAAUAUAGGGGAGCACCAGUGGGGAAGGUUGGGGUAAGGAGGAACGAUGGCAGGAAGGGUUGGUGAAGGUUCGUAAGAAAUAUAAACGUAGGAUGUGUAUAUAUAUAUAUGGGUAGGUGUGGGGGAGGUUGGGGGGUAAGGAGGAACGAUGGCAGGAAGGGUUGGUGCAGGUUCGUAAGAAAUAAAAACGUAGGAUAUUACGAGGCAUGGAGGGGACUGGAAGGAGAUAGUAGGAUUGAGGCAGUGUCAGUUCAAAACAGGAGGAAGCGUAAGAUCAGAGGGCGGUUGAUGAGCUGAGACGCUAGCAGCUUGUCUUUUCUCAGUGAAAGCAUAUGAGGAGAAGGGGUAGGAAGGGGUGGUGGGGGAGGAGGAGGGAGUAUCCGGUGUAGAUGGUGAGAACAGUGUUCACCGGUAUUGGUGGUGGGGGUGGUAUUGGUGGUGGGGGUGGUAUUGGUGGUGGGGGUGGUGGUGGUGUGGUUGUGGGGGUGGUGUUGGUGGUGGGGGGGUGGGGGUGGGGGUGGUAUUGGGGGUGGGGGUGGGAGGGCGGGCGCACCGCGCAAUGGGAGAAGAUGAGAUUUUUAGGCGGCAGAAAGAAAGACAGGAUUUGAGAUGGAAUGCUUUGCGAUCGUGUGCAUAAGUUUCUAUGAGUGGAAGUUGGGAAAAGAUGGGUUAGAGAAUUAAGCGACAGAAAGAAAGACCAAAUUUGAGACGAGAUGUUUUUGCGAAGUUUUUGUGAAUGAAAGUUUAUAUGCUUCAGCUAGCAUUUGAGACGAAAGACAACGAUAACGCCAAUAUAUGGGGAAACAAUAAUAAUAAGAAGGCUUGAUGGUGAUGAUGAUACUUGCAAAAACAAUGAAAAGAAGGAACAGGACUUAGCUGAUAUUUUUCAUCCUGCGUAUUGGCUAAGCCUGUGGAAGCGAGUGAAGGCGAGAUAUAUAUACAGAGAGAGAGAGAGACAGUGAUAACAGAGGGAGAAACCGACACCACAUAGAGACGAAAGACAACGAUAACGCCAAUAUAUGGGGAAACAAUAAUAAUAAGAAGGCUUGAUGGUGAUGAUGAUACUUGCAAAUAUAUAUAUAUAUAUAUAUAUAUAUAUAUAUCAUCAUCAUCAUCAUCAUUUAUUGUCUGUUUUCCAUACUAGCAUGGGUUAGAUGGUUCAACCAGGGUCUGGGAAGCCAGGAGGCUGCACCAGGUUCCAGUCUGAUCUGGCAGUGUUUCUACAGCUGGAUGCCCUUCCUAACGCCAACCACUCUGUGAGUGUAGUGGGUGCUUUUUACAUGCCACCAGCACGAGUAUCACAACUACAAUUUCCAUUUGAUUUUUUUUAUUUUGAUGUUGAUGUACUUGACUCAAUAGGUCUCCUCAAGCACAGCAGGUUAUUAUGACACAAAAGGAAUACAGUGUACCUAUUUUAUAAACUGAGAUACACAUGAUAAUAUCAUCAUCAUUUUUACAUCCACUUUUAUUAUGCUGGCAUGAGUUAGAUGAGAUUUCUUGAGGCAGCAUUCUACAAUGAGACAACUUUCCUGCUGUCAAGCCUUGUUUCCAAGAAGGAUAUUUUAAUCAAUUGAAAUUUACAUUUUGAACUGCUGAGCAACAGGAUAUAAGCAAGCAUUACCAAUGCCUGAGCAGUGUCAGUGUGAUGAUGUGAACAGAGAAAUAUACGCACGUAUAAGCACAUAUACGCACAUAUAAGAUUGACUCGCAUACAGUUUUUAUCUGCCAAAUUUCAUUCACAAGGUUUUGGUCAACUUGAAGCUAUAGUGAGAGACAUGUGCCCAAGGUGCUAUGCAGUGAGACUGAACCCAGAAUCACAUCACAUGGUUGGGAACCAAACUUCUUAAUUUCAUAGUCAUGCUUGCAUCCAUCUCUCUUUCUCUUUUUCUUCCUCCCUUCUCUCCCCCCUCUCUCUAUAUACAUACACACAUCUAUAUAUAUAGGUUUGAUAAUUCAAACAGGAGAAAUAGAACUCAAUAUUCUAUAGUAAAUAUAUCUUUAUUUAGCCAUAACUUACAUGGCUUUACAGCUAAUAAAAAAGGUUGUAUGUGUGUGUAUUCUCAGCAUCUUUGGAUUCUCAAGAUGCUCUUUUUCCUCCCUUUCUGUUACUGGUUUGGAUUCAGUUGCCUAUAUUCAGUCCAGUACAGGAUGAAAGUUCUUACCCAGGCAUAGUUAAGUUGAUUACAUUGACCCAGUGUUCAACUGGUACUUAUGUCUUUUACUCUGAAAGGAAAAGUUAAACUUGGUGCAAUUUGAAUUCAAAAUGUAAAGACAAACAGAAUACUGCUAAGUAUUUCACCCUGCAUGCUAAUAAUUCCUCCAGCUUGCAGCCCUUUCUGUUAUAAACACCUUAAACUCCGUCACAUGCCUAUUCAUCUUUCAGUUGACUUUCUAAGUGCACCAUCUUACCAGUUCUUGUUUAUCAGUUCCUCACCAUACUAUGCGCAUUUCUGUUUCCCCAUCCUUUGUGUAACUUCCUGAAUUUUUCGUCAGUAUUGUAUUUUUAUUUAUCUAUUUUAUAUUUAUUAAAAGUUUUUAUCAGUGUUUUAUUGUAAUUAGUUUUCUCUAAUCUUUCUUCAAUUUUUCUUCUUUCUCCCUUCCAUUUAUAUGCUUUACAUUCACUUCUGCUGCAUUCCUCUUGCCUCUCCAUGUGUCUCACUAAUAUUCUUCACUCACAAAAGUAAAGCUUUUUUUCUUCUGUAGGUGGAUAUCUACGAAGUAGAAACAGUACUGUACUGUAUAUUUUUUUUAAUAUUUUUAUAAUUUGUAUAUAUUUAUUUCAUUAUAAAUGCCAAACAACACCACACACUUGCCUCCCAAGUUUCAUUUUCAAUACAGUAUGUACAAUACUAUAUCUACUCAUCUAUGGUUGUUUGUUCCUUCUCGAGCCACGCCUGGCUCAUUAGGGCCUGUUUCCUUGGCAUAUAGGUUCCCCACCUGGACGGGAUGCUGGUCCGUCGCAGGUGAGCUGCAAGAUGCAGGAGGAAAGAGUGAGAGAAAGUUGUGGCAAAAGUUCGCUAUUACCUUCUGCCGGAGCUGAGUGGAGCUUAGGUGUUUCGCUCAUAAACACACACAUCGUCCAGUCUGAGAUUCGAACCCAAGAAUCCCUCAAUCGCAAGUCCACUACUCUAACCACUAGGCCAUGUGCCUCCACUCACUCAUCUAUGGUACACUCUGUAUUUUCUUUUACUAUAUUUUAAUUAAUGUAUUAUAUACAGUGCAGUACUGUAUUGCAUUUGUAUUUAUUAAUUUUUAGGCGUGAAAAUACUUAUUUUACCACAGAAAUAAUUAAAAUCUAAAAAAUUAUGAAUAUUUAUCGGCCGCAGAAACCCGCAAUAUACUGAGGAAUCCCCAAUAUAAAUUUACAUAUAUUAACCAGAAAAAUUCACGAUGUACUGAGGGUGUAAUAGGUGAACUGUGAUAUAGCAAGUGAUUACUGUCUAUAUAUAUUGUGUUAGCUCUACAUUAGAUAUUGCUGGAAGCAAGAACAAUCUUUUAUGUCCAUACUCAAGGUAAAAAAUCUGAGAAUUGUUUGUUUAGGCUUUGCCAGAAGACCAUUUUGAAUUAUAUGUCUAAAUAUUAACAUUAUACAGAAUUGCCAUGAUUCCUUUUAAAGAAUUCUCCAUUAAAUUAGUCUCAACAUCAGUCAUCUUACCCUGGUAACACCAGGUAUCCUGUUACUAUAUAUUAUACACACAUGCACACUCCACAGUCACCAUCAUCACCAUCUCCAUUUUAUGACGAGCUUCCCUACUAGCAUAAAUUGAAUGAAUCAUUGCAGGCUCAAUUCUCAUUCAGAAUUAUUACCGUUUUAAGCAAGUCAAGGGAACAUAGUUCAUGCGUACAUUCCAUUGUGGGCAUAGUUUCUAAGGUUGGACACCCUCCCUAACACAAACCACUUUCACAAAGUGUACUGGGUACUUUUUCCAUGGCAUCAGCACUAGCGAAGUAAUCAUAUUCUCAGUAAGACUAAAGGGUCCUCUAAGCUCUACAUUGACUUCACUCUUUUGACCACCACUUUGCAGGGUUAAUUUGGUGCAUUUUGUCAUAGCAGGAGUAUUAGUGAGGUUGCUUUGUACUCACAUGAUUAAAAAGUGCUCGCAUCUCUAUAUUUAUAUUCAUUCAAGGCAAAUAUAAUCAAGAGGGUGAAUAAAACAGAUAGCAAUGACAGAGUAUAAUCUAGCAUGAAAGAGGAACAAGGGCAUGCGCGCACACACACACACACACACUCUCUCUCUCUCUCUCUCUCUCUCUCUCUCUCUCUCUCUCACACUCUCUCUCUCUCUCUCUAUCUCACUCACACACAUACACACAUUAUCAUCAUUAUCAUCAGUUAACAUCCAUGUUCCAUGUUUGCAUGGGUUGGAUAGUUUGACAAGAUCUGAUUGGCCCAAGGACUCUAUUGUGCUUCAGUGUCUGCUUUGGCAUGAUGCCUAUGAUGUCUAUGGCUGAAUGCCCUUCCUGAUGCCAACCACAUUACAAUGUGUUCUGAGUUCUUUUUUUUGUUUUUCUUUUUUUUUGCCAUGAACACAAGUGAGGUCACCAUACGGCUUGCAGUACUACAAACAUACAUGAAAGAGGGACAUCUUUAUAUUAGGGGAUGAGGUGUGUGUGUAAACAUAUAUAUAUAUAUAUAUAUAUAUAUAUAUAUAUAUAUAUCAGUAAUUUAUUUUCUGCUGAAGAUUCUAGAAAGAUAAAAACCAUCUUUUGCUUCAGAAUAUAGUUAUUACUUAUUUUUUUAUUAUAUUUUUCUUAUAAACAGCAUUUAUUCUUUCUGAUAUUACUAUGUCAAAAUUUUUCAUGUUUUAAUAUAAGUUAUGUCUAUAUCUAAAUAUAUCUAUAUAUUUUUAUGUAAUAAUCUCUAAUUUGUUGAAAAGAGUGCUUUCAUAUGCAUACAAAUUCUGAAAACAUAUGUAUGCAGCAAUUGUAUAUUCAUGCAAUUUUAUCUAUGUACAGUACCCUUCUAAGAUUCUGUAAGAUUGUGUUUCUCUCAUUAGCUAUUUUCCAUAAACAAAACGGAAUAUAAAAGUAUACUUUCAACACCUCCCACUAUAUCUGGGAAAUCGAUUCUUCUUUGCAUCUGAAAUUUUCAGAAGUUAUUAAAAAUAAUUUUGGCACCUAACUUUAAUACACAUUUAUUUCCUGCUGAAUAUUGUAGAGAAUUGAAGUUGUUGUUCUUCCAGGAUAUUUACAUACAAUUUUGUUGUAAAGGUUGGUUGAAGCAUAAGCAUAGCACUGUUCUUAAGAAGUUUGCCUCUCAACCACAUGGUCUUGAGUUCAGUUGCACUGUGUGACACUUUAGGUGCCUUCAACUCAAGCCCCAAUCUGACCUGAAGCCUUGUAAAUGGAUUUGUUAGAUGGAAACUGAAAGAAGUCCCUUUUGUAUGUGUGUACCCAUAACCUGACAGCAUGUGAUGAUUGUAAAUGAACAUCGUCAUACAAGUGAUGCUGUUCAUUUUCAGUCUUCCAGCAAAAACACAUCUGGGUGUGGGAAACUACUUACUUGCUUGGAUACAAGGGUUAGUGACCGGAAUGGUAUCCAUCCAGAGAGAAUCUGCCUCUAUAAGUUCUUUCUGACACAUGCAAGCAUGUCAUUAAAUGAUGACGACGAGGUGUGUGUGUGUGUUAGUUAGUUAGUUAAUUUUUUGGCUCAAAAAGCAAAAGGCAAGGCCAUGUAGGGGGACAUGGAGUUAUGUACAGGGUGGUGUUCAUGUAAAGAGUUCAGGCCACUUCUGGUCAAGGGAGACUUUGAACUGAGCGGUCGUCGGCAUCUUCACCAUCUCGUCCGGCAGCUUAUUCCACGGAUCUGCAACCUGGACGGAGAAAGCCCCUUUCCUUCGAUUGAGAUGAAAUCAUCGCAGAUAGAGCUUUUUGGAAUGACCCCACAGCCGACACUCUGGAGCAGGAGUGAAGAACAGCUCUUUUGAGAGGUUACACUUUCCGCUUAUGAUGUUUGUGUGUGUGUGCUUGUUUACAUUAGCAUUUCUCUGAAAAUUCACUCAAGCAGUGACAUUGCUGUUAUUUCUUGUCAAUGGAUCAUCCACUAGUUUUGCACUUUUGAAGCUGUAUGGAAUGGGAGAUUCCUUAUGUGCAAGUAAGGUCAGUAAGAAGAAGGGCAUCUGGCUGUAAAACAGUGUGUCAGUAAUACAUAUGUCUAACCCAUGCUAGCAUCAGAAAACAGAUGUAAAAAUGACUGAAUGACUAUAUUGGUAUUGAUUAUCAGAGGAAUCAGCUAUAAUGUACAAGAGUGAACGGAAGAAGGACAAUUGGUAUGGAGGACGACAAUUGGUCAGUGGAGUGGCAAGUGAUCCAUGGAAGAAGUAGUGAGUGAGGUUUCCUUCAAAAUGCUGGACUGCACAAAGACAAUACAGGACCACAACACUCUCUGUUAGAGCAAAACCAUCCAAUCCAUGCCAGCAUGGAAAAAUAGACGUGAGAUUAUGACAAUGGCAAUAAUUUCAUAUAUAUAUCAAAGAAACAAGAACAACUAUUCAUUACAUUUAUACCAAGGUAUUAAGAGUUUAUACAUAUACACAUAUUUUAAAAACCAGAAAACCAUUUUUGUCAUUUUUUUUUUUUGUCCCACUUCUUUCUAGCUCUCUCCCAAACAACAAUGAGCACAUUGUUUUAAUUUCUUAUUGUUAUAUAUACACACACACAUACACACCAUCAUUAUCAUCACCACCAUCGUCAUCAAAUUCUUCAUCUUCAUUGUAGUGGUGGUGGUGGUGGUUUGUUGUCAUCAGACACCUUUUAUAUUCACAACUAAACAGCAGUUAUCCACCACAGUCACUACCACCAAUACCACUAUCACCUCCACAACCUCUCACAACAACCAAUAUCACCACUUUCAUUACCACAACCUCCACCACCACCACCACCACUACUACUACUACAACUAUCACUUUUACACCUCUACCACGACAACCAGUAUCAUAUCACCACAUCAACUACCUCCACCACCACUACAACUAUCAUCACCUUAACCAUCAUCAAUACUACCAUUACUACUAACACCACCGUUACUACCACAACCACCACUACCACUGCCAUCUCUACCAUUAUGCAGUUCUGCUGUCUCAACCAAGCUGCAGUUGCAGUAUUUCGGUUGUUAAGUGUAUAUUGUACAUUUUCAGCUGCCACUUUGCCAAUCUAAGAACUGUAAGAUGCAGCAAUAUGGCUGUGACUGCUUCAUGUUUGGGGGUUGGCAAAUGGAUGGUUGGGUGGAGGUGUUAUCGUUGUGAUGGUGGUUGUUAUGGAGAGUACUGUGUGCAUUUGUUGUUGAGAUUAAACAGAUUUAUGAUCAGAGGCAUUCCUGCCAUGACUAUCUUGUCUUUUUUAUUUGUGUAUCUAGGAUUGCAUUAUCCAUCGUUUCUGUUUUUUUUUUUAAAUGGUGAGAAUAUGAUUUGGGUGUUAUUUGACAUGUUAUUUCUCGCAAGUCAAGUGGCACAUUGGUGUUGUUCUAGAACAGUGGUUCCUAAUCUGGAGUCCACAGACCCCUGGUAGUACUGGGGGUCCAUGAACUAAAUUCAAAAUUUCAUAUAUAUUUAUAUAUAUAUAUAUAUAUAUAUAUACACAUACAUGCAUGCAUACACACACACACACACACACACACAAGGAUAAGCUUAUUAAAAGGGGUCUCCAUAGGAAAACUCGUUUAAAUAAAAGGGUUGGGAAUCACAGUUCUAGAGAGUGGAGGUGGAUGUUGUCUAGCUUCUGGUCACCUCUGAUUGAACAGCCCGGUGAUGUGACCACCUUGUUUUUCUUUUAUCCCAACCUACUGUAUCUAGGACUGCAUUAUCCAAUGUGUUCCUCUUUUUUCAUGAGACAUUAAUACAUUAUAUGAGGGAAAUUUGGCUGCUAUUUCUAAUAAGUCUAAUUACUACAUAGAAAUUCCCCAACAAGGUUUGUUGUUGAUGUUGUUUAAAUCCAGGUUAGUGCUAAUCUAAUUGAGCUAUAAUUCCAGCUGUGGCCAUCCCAUCUUUUAUUUAGGCCUAUGUUUUUCAUUCAUGUUGCUAUUUAGCCCCAAUUUACCCCUUAUCCAGCAGAUAUAUGAUUACAAAUGUUUCAGCCAUAACUAUCCCAUAUUUUUCCCAAGCACAUUAUCCUGUGUUCUGUUCUAUGUAUGUAAGUGGGGCUGAAUUUGAAGGGGACUUAAAUGCCAUUUCUAACAUGUUGAGUAAUCACAUAGAGCUUCAUUCAUUAAUGUUGUUGUUGUUGUUGGAAAAGAAUAGUGUGGGUUUGUGAGAGGACACAUGAUCCUAGAGAUGUUAUUGUUUAUUCCAAAGUUAACCCUGAUUCAGUCAACUUAUGCUCAAAGGCAUUCCAGCCAUGACCAUCUGGUCCGUUAUUCAGAUAUAAUCUAAGACUACAUUAUCCAAUGUAUUCCUCAUAUUUUUUAUUGUAUUUUAUUUUUUCUCCCCUAAUUUCAAUCAUUGGAGUGCAACCAUACUGGUUACACCAAUUUCAGUAGGGUGUAAUUUGAGGAAGAUUUGACUAUUGUUUCUAGCAGGUUGACCAAUUAGCUAAAGCUUCCAACAUCUGCUCAUAUAAAAGGAGAGUGUUGUGGAACUGCAGAACUAUUGUGUUAAGAAAGCAAGAAAUUCCAAUGUGUUGAUAUUCUAAGGAACAUCAACAUCUGUGCAGGCAUGGAUGUAUGGUUUAGAAGUUUGUUUUGUAACCAUUUUGUGUUCAGUCCUACUAAGCAACACUUUGGUUAAGUAUCUUCUACUAGAGCCCCAGGAUGGUCAAUACCUUGUGAAAUUUUAGGAAGCUCAUUACAUUUGCAUAUAUGUGUGUGUAUACAAAUGUACAUGAAUAUUGACCUUUGAGAUGAAAAAUAAAAAAAGCCUUACUUAUAAAACUGGUAAGGGUUGGCAAUAGGACGAGCAUCCAGGUGUAAUUUCCUGUCUAAAAUAAGCCUUCAUCCAACCCAUGCUUGAAUCGAAAAACUGGCAUAAUGAGCAAAUGAAUGAAUGAUAUAUUUGAAGUUGAUGAUUCAUUUUGUCACUUCUCUGAAAGUCAAAGCCCUGACUUCAGAAGGAUGCUUAUGACUAGAAGUUGCAGAUGGAUUUUAAAGGAAAUGUUUUGUUCCUAAAUCAUUGCAUUAAUGAUGUCUUGAUUAUUGAGUUGUUGAUGCCGGAUUUGGAAUAUUUAAUGGGCACAUAAAAGAAAGGCUUAAAAUAUGAGCGGUUUAGAGUUGUUAAGCACAAAGAUGGCAGUAUAAAGUGCUUCCUGUAGAAGUGAGAUGUCAUGGACUUUCAGAUGGAUCCACAAUGUGAACUUAAGAAGAAUAGUGAUUUGUGAAUUGAGCAAGAAACAGAGAAUUCUUUGUUGAUGGAAAUGCAGAGGUAUGUGAGAGAGAGAGAGAGAGAGCGAAGAAUAUAUAGUAAAAUAAAAUAAUUGCAGCAAGAUGUAGUGUUUACAGCUGCACCCAGUUUGAUGUGAUAACUGCAUGGUUAACAGAAGAAAAGGGAAAAUGUUAUUAUGAUGCGGGCCAUAAUAACAUUUGAUGUUCCAAAGUCUUUGGAACAUCAAUGAUACUCAUUACACUGCUGGAUGGAGGAGUACUGCUACAAAGAGCCAAAACCAUUAUGAUCUUCUGUCAAUAGCUGAUAAAAGGAAUUUCUUAGAGUGCAAACAAUAUGUAAAAUAUUGUAUAUAUAAUUUUGUGUGUGUGUAAAAGAUGAUAGGUUCCACCAUUUCAUGAUGAAGAUUCAGUUGUUUAACUGAAUUAUCUGCUCUUCAUUUUAACAUAUAAGCGACUGAGCAUUUUACUGACAUGUGUGCCCUUAACAUAAUUCUUAAGCAGAGUCAGUGUGACACAGCAUCUGACAAGACCGUACUGUUUGAAUUACAGGUAUAAUCUACUUGAUGUGGUUCUGUACAGUUUCCAUCUAAGUAAUUUCACUCACAGUGUAUGUACUUACUUGUACUUGUGGUGACAUUCACCCUGGGUGGGUUGAGUCGGCUUCUUCUACCAUGGAAGAAGUCUCAUGGGAAUAUGUGGAUUUCACAACCGGUCCCCAACAAUCCCGCAUGUAGAGACAUCCUGUUUGCCGCAGAGUGUCCGCAGACGCAGGGACAGAACAACCGAGGAGCCGCCGGUUGCUGAAACAGACACUCCGAGGAUUUUCACCAGAGCCCCGUCUACCGGGUUGUGGCCCUAAUACCACUCAGUGUCAGACCAAUCUGCCUUGGGUAGCACUAUCAGGAACCAAAGUUCCCGACGGCAUAGCUCUGACGCUACAAUGUAUGAGUCAAUCCAUACAAAUAAAUGAAUGUCAUCAAGUCUUAUCUUUACAGCUGUUUCAGAUAAACAAUCACUGGUGCCAUAACCAUGUAUAUAAUGUAAUAUCGUCCAAUAAUAUUAGAUUAACGCAGAUUUUAGAGAGCUGUGAUGUGAAAUCAUGUUAUCCUCAUAAGAAGAUUCUGGUGAACAGUGUAGUGUAGAAUAGUGUUUAUAAAUAUAUAAGUUCAAUGGGAAAUCAUGUAAGAGAGGUGGUGGUGAGGAGGAGGAGGAAUAAUCUGAGAAACAUUAAUGGAAAGAUGGGAUGGGGAGAAGGGUGGGGUUGCUAAAAUAGGGUUAGUAAUUAAAAGACAUCGAUUGAUGGCAUCAAGAAAGAAAGAGAUAUGAAAUAGGCCAUGAAAAUAAGAGAGGAAGUUAGAUCAAAGAGAGGUCAGUAUCUAGUGAAGAGUCUUAUAUGUGUGCGAGUGUGUGUAUAUACAUGUUUUUAUGUGUGUGUGUGUUUAUAUAUAUAUAUAUAUAUAUAUAUAUAUAUAUAUAUCAUAGACACAAGCAUGGUUAUAAGUUGAAAGCAUAGGAUUGUGGUUAAAAGUUUGUUUUUCAACUAUGUGAGUUUGAACUCAGUCCCACUGCAUGGACAUCUUGGAAAAGUUUCUUCUGUUACGAUCCUAGGCUGUAGUGAGUGGACUUUGUUGAUGGAAACUGAAAGAUGCCCAUCAUGAUUGUGUGUGUGUUCAUGUCUCCUUGAUCACAUGCUAAUUGUAAACAAACAUCGCUUUUAAGUAGUGUCAUCUGUUAACAGUCUUCUGUGUAAACCUGUCUAGCUGUUGGUGUUAUUCAAUUCAAAGGAUUAAGGGGAAAUAUUACCUUACUUAGAAACAAGUGAGGAUUGAUAAUAGAAAGAGCAUCCAGCCAUAAAAAAUGUGCAUCAGCAAAUUUUGUCUGAUCCAUGUAAACAACAGGUGAAUGUUGAAAUGAUGAUGAUGAUGAUGAUUAUGAUGAUCUGUGCAUAGUGGUUGUGGUGAUAUAAAAGAAAGGAAUCAACAGCCCUGCAAUUUUGAUGAAGGUGUGUUGGUGGCAGCUGCUAUUGCUGGCAUGAAAUCAUUAGUUACCACCUCAACUGAUUUUAUGGCAGCUGCAGUUGUUGUUGUUGUUGUCAUUGUUGUUGUAUAACCCUAAGAAGUAUAACCCUAAUGCAUACAAACACACACAGCAUGGCUUCUGUAAUCAACCCAAAGGUGGAACGUGAAACCUACUAGACAAGGAAAUGGAAGCAAUAAUAGUUGCUGUCAUAGAAACCUCAUGUUUGGACUUGUUGCUUGGUUGUGGUGGUGGUGGUGAUGGUGGUGGUGGUGGUGGUGGUUGUUGUUGUUGUGGUAGUGGCGGUGGUGGUGUUGGUGGUGGUAUUGAUGGUGGUGGAGGAGUUUAUAGCUGCGGCUGGGAAGUGGUCGAUGUAAACAAACAUCUUCAUCCAGGUUAGAACUUUGAAGGGCAAUAAGACUAAUAGUGGUGAAGGACAUCUUCCCCUCCCCCCCACACACACACUCAAAUAAGAUAAUGGUGAGGUAGUAGAUGUCACGAACUUUAUGGAAGUAACUGUCCUGGCCAAGUGCAUACUAGACCACCACUUCAAUUCAAGUGCAGUUUUUGUGUUUCAAAACAGAAGUUCUAUGUCAUAGUUGAUGCAGUCAUCAAGACAAUUGACUGUAAUGGUGAUGGUGGGGUGUAGAAACUGGAUUAUCCAGUAGAUAAAAUACUGGACUACCUAUGCUUUUCAUGGCUCCCAUGUUCAAAUCCUGGUGCUGCAGUAUUGCGUUUCUGAGUGGAAUGCUUUAUUUUACAGUAUUUUAAUAUUACAUUAUUGUUGUUGCUUUGUCUGAUCAGUCUCUGGUCAAGAAAAUCUUUGAUCUAUGUUCUUUUUAUAAUCAUCCCAUCUUUUGAGGACUAUGUAAGGAAUACUUUAAUGUGCUGUUCUCUGUUUAAGAUGAUGAGAUUUGGCUGUUGUGUGUGGCAUGUCAAGAACCACUUAAAAGUUCCAUUGUUGGCUAAUUGUCUUAAUUGCCAGUAACAAGUGCCACCAGAUUAUCUUGAUCUAAUGAUGACACUUUUGUGUUGUUACUUGUCCUUCCUGAAAUAGCAGCAAAAUAUUAGGUGCCUCUGCAUAGUCACACAAUCUGCAACAAAAGCAGCUAAAUUUCCCUCAGAACUUGCCUUAAUGUCUUAAAAAGACAUUGAAUAAUGUGAUCCUGGUUUUCCCUGCACACAGGAAGAUGGUGGCUGGAAUAACUUUGUUUGGAGGUUUGCUUGAUCAGAGUUGACCUAAGAUUAAACAACUCCCACCACAUGAACCAAUAAAGGAGUGGCUAUGUGGUUACCCAACUUGCUAGAAAUUGUGUCUAAAUAUCCCUUUAAUUAUACCCUACCAUUUUAAAACAAGGAGAUAUUGCAUAAUGGAGUCCAAGAGUUAAACCCUCCUUCCCUUCUUUCCUGAGCGUCAAAUAAUACUUUAAUUGUUCCACGUCCUCGCGUUGCUGUGUUUUUUUUUUUCUGUGUUUUCUUGUUUGGAUUAACUAUAUAUAUAUAUAUAUUAUGCACAACACUGCUUUAAUGAAAAGUGAAACAAAUUUAUAGGAUCCUGGUAUGUUCUGGGAAAUAGCCUAGCUCAGUAUGCAGGAAAGGAGGAGGUAUAAACUGCAUAUCUUGUACCCAAUAUAAACUUUAGACAAAAGAGGUAUAGUGGAUUCACUGGCAGACUAACAAAGAAAGUAUGCUUCAUAUAUGACAGAUGUAUUGAAGAAGUACAUACAAAGAACACACUAGAAAUAGAUUAUCUUAAAUGCUCGGAUCAAUCACUAGAAGUAUUUGAUAACAUUUGUGAUCUCAGAGAUAUAAUUUACAGAGGGGAUGGUUGCUAUGAAAGUAUAGUAGUCAGGGUUAGAAUAGACUGGAAAAAGUUCAGAGUGCUUCUACCAUUGCUGAUAACAGAGGUCUUUUCCCUCAGGGAUUUUAUGAUACUUGUGUUAGAAGUGUGAUAUUGCAUGGUAGUGAGACAUGGGCCUUGAAUGCAGAUUACUUGAGAGGUGACUGAAAAGAAAUGAAGCAAGCAUGCUCUGUUGGAUGUGUAAUGAAUGACAAAGUACAAAUGCUUUGAGAGAAAAUUAAGCAUAAGAGGAAUCAGAUGUUGUGUGCAAGAAAGAAGACUUUGCCAGUAUAGACAUAUGAUGUAUAUGGAUGAAGACAGCUGUAUAAAGAAUGACUUAAUGUGGAUGGAGCUUGUGGAUGAGGGAUACCCAGGAUGUCAUUGGACGAAAUGGCGUGUGUGUGUGUGUAGAGAGAGAGAGUUUAUUCUCCCAGAUAUGUAUAUUUAUUUGUUUAUUCCAAAGUCCUGCACAGUUUCACACAGCUUUGUCAUAUUCUCUAUCCACGAUGGAGAUGAGUAGCAAUGUCCCAUGUGACAGUCUUGAUUGUUGCUGAGAAUUCUCAGCAUGAAACCAAUCAUAUCCUUGUUAACCCACAAAUAAAGUAUAUCAUCAUCAUCACUUAGCAUCCACCUUCCAUGCUGAAAUGAGUGUAUAUAUAUAUAUAUAUAUAUAUAUAUAUAUAUAUAUCAUCAUCAUCAUUUAACGUCCGCUUUCCAUGCUAGCAUGGGUUGGACGGUUCAACUGGGGUGUGGGGAGCCCGAAAGCUGCACCAGUCCAGUCAGAUCUGGCAGUGUUUCUACAGCUGGAUGCCCUUCCUAACGCCAACCACUCCAAGAGUGUAGUGGGUGAUUUUAUGUGCCACCGACACAGGUGCCAGACGAGGCUGGCAAACGGCCACGCUCGGAUGGUGUUUUUUUAUGUGCCACCGACACAGGUGCCAGACGAGGCUGGCAGACGGCCACGCUCGGAUGGUGUUUUUAUGUGCCACCGACAAAGGUGCCAGAUGAGGCUGGCAAAUGGCCACGAUCGGAUGGUGUUUGUUACGUGCCCACAGCACGGAGGCCAGUCGAUGCGGUACUGGCUACGGCCACGUUCGGAUGGUUUUCUUGUGUGCCACGUGCCACCGGCACUGGUACCACAAAGAUACAAAUUCCAUUGAUGUUCAUCUAUUUUGAUUUGUUUUGAUUUUCACUUGCCUCAACAGGUCUUCACAAGUGUCACAAGAAGGAAGGUAAGCACAGGUGGACUGACUACGUCCCAGGUAAGGGCCACGGGUUAUGGCCUGACUAGUCUUGCCGGGUCUUCGGAUGGUGUUUUUAUGUGCCACCGACAUAGGUGCCAGAUGAGGCUGGCGAACGGCCACGAUCGGAUGGUGUUAGUUACGUGCCCACAGCACGGAGGCCAUUCGAUGCGGUACUGGCUACGGCCACGUUCGGAUGGUUUUCUUGUGUGCCACCGGCACUGGUACCACAAAGAUACAAAUUCCAUUAAUGUUCAUCUAUUUUGAUUUGUUUUGAUUUGAUUUUAUUUUAUAUAUAUAUAUAUAUAAACAACUGUCCCUGUUCUAAAUCAAUUUCCUCCUCAAGACAUCCCCACCAACUAUCAUCUUUCUAACUACAGUAUUCUGCUGCUGUAAUUAAAUGUGAGCAGGACUGAAUAUUUCACCAUUUUCCCUUGAUACCACUUAUCCAUCUUACUACCUGGAAUCCAUUCACUUGUUAUCCAUUGUUAAUACUAUUCCCUUUAUCUAUUUCUUACAUUGAUCACCUUCAACCACACAUCCUCUCUCUCUCUCUCUCUCUCUCUCUCUCUCUCUCUCUCUCUCUCUCUCUCUCUCUCUCUCUCUCUCUCUCUCUCUCUCUCUCUCUCUCUCUCUCUCUCUCUCUCUCUCUCUCUCUCUCUCUCUCUCUCUCUCUCUCUCUCUCUCUCUCUCUCUCUCUCUCUCUCUCUCUCUCUCUCUCUCUCUCUCUCUUGUUCAUCCUUCCUGUGUCUACUGUACUAUUACUAUAUAUUGCUGCACUUCACUGUAGGCCUACUGGAUCAAGACUGACUGGGUUUUAAACAACAUGAAGGUCAUCUGGCGAAAGUUACUAGAGAUAGACUAGCAGUCUAUCCAAAGAGAAAAUAAUCUCUUAUCCACUUUAAUGUGAUAGCUGAGUGGAUCAGCCAUUCAAUAACUGAUCCUUGUUUUGGAAGUUUAUAUCUACACAUUCUUUCAUUAAUGUUUCUGUGCAGAAUCCAAUUCUACAUUAUCCCUGUUCAUCUUUGUCUCAUGAAUAAUUACCCAGUGAUCAAAUAAUAUUUCUAGAAAUAGAUGUUGUAUUCUAUCCAGGGUAUGAUUUUGCUCUGAUCAACUUCAUACCAUCAGACUUGAACUGAUGAGUUAGCAAGUUCAUAGAGACUGAUGUACUCUGGAUUUUCUAAAGCAUCAAAAUGUAGUGAUGGAUUCAGACACCAUUUAAAAUGUUGUUACCUAUUAUACAGUUAACCCUGAAACAGGCAACACUGAAACAAGUUUACUUAGCUGAUAGAUUGAACAGGGUUGUUUCAUGACAUACAGUAUUGAACAGUGUUUUCUCAGUAAUUUCUGCAACUAAUUGCCACAGUCACUCAAUCAAUAUAAGAAGUACCACCAAUUUGUGCAACUACAUUAUGUUGUGUCUCCUAAGACAAGAAUGUUAUCCAAUUAAACAGCCUGACCAAAGCAGAGUGUACUGUCUGAAGAAACACAACACAAUGGCUAAAACUGCAAAGUGAUGGUACAUAUUAUACAGCUAGGUAGACUGUAAUGAAGUGAAAUGUUUAAGAAGACAACACAAUGGCUGUAACAGAAAAUGAUAGUAAUUAUUACACAGCAAGAGAAAUCAAGAAAGCCAGGAUAUCAAAACCACACACUGUGUAUCUCCUCAAAACAGAAACAAAAUUGUGUUAGACAGUUAGACUCACAGAUAGACAAGGAGUUUGAUGGAGACAAACAGGAAGAAGAUCCAAAAUAAAUAAUAUUGAGUAGACAUGUCUGUCAGAGAGGAAAUAGGAAAAGCCAAGGUGGAAUUGGUUAGGUUUCGGUCAGCAAUGGUCAAGAUUGAAAAUAGAUAACAGGAAGAACUGGUGGAGGAAAUUACAAACCAUCUAAAUGCUAUUCUGGUUACUGAAUGGCAGCCAAACAAUUUUAGAAAUGGUCUACCAUCAUCCUCAUCAUCAUUCAUGGAUGUAACGAUGUUUGUUAGAGUUAGGUGUGGGGAGGAUCAGAUAAAUGUAUGUGUCUUUAUUAAGUGUGGUUUUAUAUGCCUAAGAAUGUGUAAGUUUUGUAUAUAUCUUACUUGUGUAUGUGCAUGCAUGUGUGUGUGUAUGUGCAUGCACAUGCACACUGUGUGAGGGGAAGAAGUUUGCUUAGGAAUCACUUGAUUUCAGAUUCAAUCCCACUGUACAUUACUUUGGAUAAGUGCUUUCUACCAUAGCGUCAAGUUGUCCAACACCUUGUGAGUGGAAUUUGGUAGACAGUAACUAUGCAGAACCUUGUCGUCUGUGUGUGUGUGUGUAGGUAUAUAUCUACCUGCCUGUUUUUCUUUCUUUCUCUCUUGUCUAUACAAACAUUAGUGACAAACCAGUGCUAUUCAGAUGAAGUUCUUUGCAAAGGCAAAUUCUUUUACACUAAGUUUAGAGGUGCUCAUUAUUACUUUUACAGUAAAAAUGCAUUGUAUCAGUGAUUGGUAGUUGGAUAACUGUAACCAACAGUACUGCUAUUUGCAAAUCACAAUAUAAAAUGCAAUACAUAUGGUGUGUGUGUAUGUAUGAUUAUAACAAUGCAAGUUGGAAAGGGAAGGUUUCCUUCUGAUAGUAAGAUACCCUUGACCAAAUGGGGUCAAGAUAGUAGAUGGAUCAAAGAUCAUUACCUAACACACAAGUGGCUUACAGUCAACACCAUCAACUGGUAGCAGUUACAGGCACUUCUAGGAAAUAGGCUUACCUAAAAUUAGAAACAAAAUUAUAUCGCAGAUUAGGAAAAGUAAUUUACUGUCCUGCUAAAAAAAUUAGCAGUUUUGACAUGUCUCUUUAAUUUCACUCCCGUUUAUUUUUUUCUUAAAAAAAAAACGCUGUCCAAAACAUGAGAUUUUCCACUUCUCUCAGCAAGUUCACUGUGCUUUUUUGUUGAUUUUACUAAAUAAUACAUGUCUUGCUGAUGCAAACCAACACCUGCCACUUUGGACUCUGUUUGAUCUUGUGUGUAUAUGUAGACAUACAGGGUGCAGUGAAUAAACUGUCGUCUAAGUUAUGCAAAAAUGAAAAUAACACUGGCAUCUCAUUUUAACAGAUAUAUUUAUCAAAAUUACAUAAAAAUAUCUUGAAAUACUAAAGAGUAAAUUUAUUCAAUGAAAUCGCCAUUGGCUUCAACCACGGCCUUCAGACAGCUUCGGAAUCUCCUGCAACUCUUCUGGAUGAUCUCCUUGUUUAAGUUGGUGAAUGCUGCCAUAAUCCUUGCCUUCAGUUCAUCUUUGGUGUUACAAGGAGUUUUGUUGGUCUCUUGCUCAAAUGCACCCCACACAUAAUAAUCAAGGGGUUUACAGUCUAUGGAAUUAGGUGGCCAGAUGUUAGGAGUGAUGCAAUCACGGAAAUUGUCUGAGAGUCAUGACUGGGUUCUCUUGCUUGUGUGGCAUGGUGCAGAGCCCAGUUGCCAGACACAGGGUCUUCCAACAGCUACCCUCUUGACCCAGGGCAGCACUACCUCCUCCAAGUAUUUGAUGUAGGCCUCCUUGUUAAAUCUGAGGCCAUAUGGGAAGAUGGAGGCAUAAUGUCACCAUCACUAGUGAUCACUCCAAACACCAUGAUGUUGACUGUAUGUUUGAUUUUUAUCACUCUCAGUACAUGUCCUCAGAUUGACAUCCAAACUCUCUGAAAUGUUUGUACUGUAUAUAUGUAAAUAAAUUUAUUUUAAACAAUUACAAGUUUUUCAAAUUUAGGUGCAUUUUCAACAACAAAUUUGCCUAUAUUUUUUCCUGCGUGGAGAUACACCCCCACUUUUGUUAUAUAUAUAUAUGAAGUGUAUUUAUCUUAUUAUUACCUGAUGUAUCCAGUGGCUGUGAGUUCAAAUCCUACUUUUUUAUAUAGCUAUUGUGCAGUGGUUGUGAUGGAGUGGUAGUGGGGUUAACCAGUUGGUUAGUAAUGAGAAUGAUGGUGAUGUUUGUUUGUUUGGUUGGUUGGUUGGUUGGUAUAAGUAGGUUAAUAGUUUCUUGUAGCAGUGGUGACAGCAGUUGGAAAUAAUGCAGAGGAUGACGCUUGUGGUGACAGUGGAAUAACAUUGAUGAUGUGAUGAUGAUGAUUUAUUUUUUUGUGUUGGGGGACAUUUGAUGAAAAUGAUGAAGCAUCUAUCAAAUAUCGAUCCAAGAUUUAUGAUAUAUUCUCUGUUUAUCAACAAUAAAACAAUAAUGUGGGAUUAACUAUGUAGCAGAUAUACUUUGUUUCAUUAUUAAUACAAUCAUCUGAGAUUACUUACCUACACACACACACACACUCUCUCUCUCAAGCACACACACACACACACACACACACAAUGAAGAAAAAAGAAAUAGAAAAUUACAAGUAGCUGUUUGUUUUUUCUGUUCUUUACUUUUCUAGAUUCAUUUGUGUUCAUUUUACUCAAUCCGCUAUUUUUUUUACCCAUCAUCACCAGUAACAUCCCUUCUGCUAAGAGCAUUGACAAAUCCAUCAACACUUUUUAUCAACCCACCCACCACCAUCACUGGUGCUAACAACACUCCACCAUCAGUAACUACCCCAUCACCACUACUAAGAACUCUUCCUCCACAACUAGUAACAACAACUCCUUAGCCAUUACUAUUAACAACUCUUCCUUCACUACCACAACUGAACAACCACUCUGCUACCAUUAACAGCUUCCCCUCCACCAUCACUAACAAUUCUUCUUUUCAUUGUUAGUAAUAACUCCCUUCUCCACUCCCACUUACAAACCAGCUCCACCACUAUGAAUCUACUUGAAAUCAAACCUAAAUAUAAAGAAGCAAAGACACUGGAUAAUAUAGAGCUAAAUAUUUCUAAAAUGACAGGAUGGUCAUCGCUUGGAUGUUUGAAAUUAGGUCUGCUUAAUCAGAGCUUAUCUAGGAUUAAGCUUUGUAUGCCUACUCCACCUCUGCUGUCACUGAUACACACCCAGAAGAAUUAAUAUUGCUGUCUCUUGCCUGUGAGGAAUUUGGUUGAGGAUCCUUUCCCUUUUACCUCUUGCACACAGCACACAUCCACUCAUCAAUCCAACAUUUCAUUGUGCCUGUGUUUGUGGAUACUACCAUAAAGCUUUAGAACCUACAUGAAGAGUGGAUGUACCUUUAAUGGGAAGGCUGUUUAGUUGUUGAUCCAUUACUGUUUGAUAAGGUCUAUACCUGUGAGGAAUAAGAAAAGCUCUGCUGUCGUUUGCUCACAUUUCAUAUUCAUCAUUCCACCCCAACACCUAUCUUUUCCAUCACCAUACAUCUCUCACUCUCUCCUUGCACUAUGCCUGCCUCUCUUUCCUCCCAUAUUCAUGCAACCUACCUAACCACGUAUCAUAGCUCUCUCUCAUCCUUACCCUGUUUACUAAUUCAAACAUUACUAUUCUGCUACUCUUCACCUUGAUGCAUCACUGGUAUAUCCCCUACCACCCCUUAUUCACCAUUUGUAUUUCCACUCCUCAUCACCACCUAAUAUCUACAGUUGUCACCUACUUUUCCCUACCUUCCCUACUUAUCAUCCUUCAACACUUGCUCUUCAUUCACUAUACCCAUUUCCAUCACCCAUUCUCUAUCUCUCACUUUUCCAUACACUCUUUCAAACUCUACCUACACUCUUGGUACUUUUGUCGCCACUCACAUCCACUCACCUCAUACAUUGAGAAUCCACCCAGACAACUCAUUUCCAUUGUUUAUACCUCAUUCCAGCUCCACUCUAAUCACCCUCACUCUGUCUUCUCAAAUGUGAGUGGUCAUGUAGCUCUUCUACUGCAAAAAAUCAGUUCUACUCUAGCCUCUUCUCUCAUACUUGAACCCCUUGUCUCCUAGCAUAACGUCACCUCUCUUGAGAAAACAGCCUGUAUAUGUGUAAAGUGGUUGGCAUUACGAUGGGUAUCCAGCCAUUGAAACUAAAGUAGACAUGGGAGCAUGAUAUAAUCCUUGAACACAGAUCCUCUCUAACCAUCCAACCCAUUCUAGCAUUGAAUAUGAACAUUAACUGGUGAUGAUGUUUAUAUGUAAACUAGCAGCACAUAAAAUAUGCAUAAUUCAUGCUGCUAUAAACCCACACUUGAUACAUUAUAAAGUGAUGGGUGAGCAACCAGAGACAUAGGUCUGAAAGAACCUUUCAUCUUGUUAAGGACAUGGUAAUGUCUGUAGUGCUGGUACCAUGAUGAAAUGCACCCGUGUGAAAUGAUUGAUGUUAGAAAGGGCAUCAAGCCACAGAAACUAAGUCAAAAAUGAAACUGAAAAAUUAUCCCGUCAAGGAUAGCAGUAGCUCUGAAUAAGAAUUCAUGUGUGUACCAUGAUAACCUGUCCAACUGAUGCCAGCAUGAAAAGUGGAUGCAUAUACAUGGAUGGCACAUAAAAAGCACCAUCCGAUUGUGACCGUUGCCAGCCUCGUCUGGCCCCCGUGCUGGUGGCACGUAAAAAGCACCAGCCGAUCAUGGCCAUUUGCCAGCCUCGUAUGGCACCUGUGCCGGUGGCACAUAAAAAGCACCCGCUACACUCACGGAGUGGUUGGCGUUAGGAAGGGCAUCCAGCUGUAGAAACACUGCCAAGUCAGACUGGGCCUGGCGCAGCCUUCUGGCUUCCCAGACCCCAGUUGAACCGUCCAGCCCAUGCUAACAUGGAAAGCGGACGUUAAACGAUGAUGAUGAUGAUAGGCACAACCAUGUUUGUAGGGUUAAGACUUUCUCUUCAGAAAGCUUCUGAAGUCCAAUUACUGGGAAAAAAAAAACUGAAGGAAUUUGUGUGUAUUCAUAUACAUGUCUAUCUUUGUUUUUCUCUCUCUCCUCUGCUUUAAAUAUAUAUAUAUAUAUUGUGUAUGUGUGUGUGAGAGAGAGAGAGAGAGAGAGAGAUUCAGUCAGUGUUCAUAUAAUUAUCUGUAAAAUACUCAUGCAAACAAAAUGUGUAGUUAUGUAGUACUUGUAAAUUUAUGCUUUAGCAUACUGUUUCAUUUGUCUAGUCAUGUUUGUGUUUUUUUUUUGUGUGUGUGUCUUGAGAAUGUAUCAAUUGUGCUUUGUGGUGUGCAACUGCAUAUUUAAGUAUCUAUACCUGUGUGCGUAACUAAUAUUGUAGCAGUAUGUGUGUGUGCAUGCAGAAAUAUGAGACAUGACUGUCGGCAGUCAUGAAAAUUGACUGCAGUCAUAAAAAACAAAUAUCAUCUGCACCACAUCAACUGCAUCAUAUCAUCAAUUACACCACAUUAAAUACAGCAGAAAUUUGCAUUAAAAAAUAUGACAACAAUUACAAAAAUUGCACUAGUAAAGAUGUACCAACAACAACUACCGUAUGGUGGAAGGGUGUUGGAAGAGAAAUGUUGAGUCAUUCAGUUUAGGAAUUUUUUUACAGUUAAGUAAUGAAAAGGAAAGAGAAAAGCAACUAGUAAAGAGUUUGUAAAAUGAAAGAAACAAUGAAGUUACAUCCAGUAUUGUAGUUGCAUCAUAAAGGGGUAUGAAUGCUACAUCAUCUUAUUUUUUUACACUAUUCUCUGUAAUUGAGGUGAUGACAAGUAUCUUUUGAAAUCUAUAUGACACUGGUGGUAGUAGUUGCAAAAGUAGCAGUAAUAGUGGAUGGGUAGUUGGGGGGUUUUGUAGUUAGUGGUAAGGUGAGCACUUUGGGGAUGGUGUUGAGUGCCACAGUGGAAGUGAUGGUUAUAGUUUUCUUCUUAGUGAUGAUGAUGCUGGGUGCCUUGUGAUGGUUGUGGUAGUGAGGACCCUAAUAAUGUUGAUGAAUACCCCAGUAAUGGUGGUGAGAAUUUACCAUUGAGAUAUUCAGUUCAUGCUUUAUCAACAUGUCAGGCUCUGACAACAGACAAUCCAUCUAUUUGUGUUGGUUAUUCAUCUAUGAUCCCCACCUGUACACAUUGAUGCUACACUUUUGCAAAUUUCUUUUAAGGAUGUCUUUGAACCACUUGCACUGUCAUCUUUGCAUGCACUUCCUUUCAUCCAAAAUGAAUUAAACAGUUUUUGGACAUCUCAUUUUCCUACAUUCCCACAACAUGACCAAAUUAUAAAUUUGAUGUUGCGUAAUCAUAGUUUCAUUGCAGAAGAUAUCGGUUUACUGCAUCAUGCUAACAAGCUUCCAGAGGAUGUGCAUGAUUUUUCUCUUGUGUCCAGGUUUCAGAGCUAUGCAAGAGAAUAGUUACAACAGGCGUAAACAUUGACAGUUAAUCUUAAACUCUUCUGUUAUGGGCUGAUGAACUAUAAUAAACAUUAGGGGAAUGAGUUCUGAGUACUGAAGGACUCUGACUUGUUCUUUGAAUCUGUUGCUGAACUCAGUGCUGAUUCUCACUUCUCUGACCAUGCCAACUCUUGUCUUCCUGACAGACUAAUAUUAUCAAUGACUAAUGUUAAUGACUUUCUGACAAGUAUAGGAAAUAACUCAAGGCAUGUUUUGGUAUUAUUCUGGCAACAUCAGUGCAAUAGAAACUUCACCAUACUUGCCAAAUUAGCACUGGAAAAAUCAUUUAGUAAACUCACAAAUUUUGUAAAUACAUUUUCUGGAUUUAUUAUUAUUAUUAUUAUUAAUAAUAACAACAAUAACAACAACAACAAACAACAACAAUAAUAAUGCAGAGAGCUGGCAGAAUCAUUAGCAUGCUGGGCAAAAUGCUAAAUGGCAUUUCGUCUGUCUUUACAUUCUGAGUUUAAAUUCUCCUGAGUCAGCUUUGCUUUUCGUCCUUCCUAGGUUGAUAAAAUAAGUACCAUUUGAGCACUGGGGUUGAUGUAAUUGACUAGUUCCUCUCCCCCAAGAAUUUCAGGCCUUCUGCCUAUAGUAGAAAGGAUUAUUAUUAUUAUUAUUAUUAUUAUUAUUAGUGGUGGUGGCAGUGGCGGCGGUUGUUGUUGUUACUGUAUCAGCAAUAGUAGUAACACUAUCAAUGUAUUGGUAACUGGAGUUUCUAAUAAUAAUGAUAGUAAUUUCUAAUUUAGUCACAAGGCCAGUAGCUUUGAGAAGAUGGAGCUAGCUGUUGUGGCGAGAGUCAUUGACACCCCUGUGGGAUUGAAAGAAUGGACUGGCUGAACUCUUAUAAAAAAUAGCUUAUUGGUUGAGACAAGAGAGAAGUCAUAGGAGACAUUGAGAGUUUGUAUUUAUUGGAGUAUUUUGAAGUGCAUUGUGUGAAGACAGUUGUGUCUAUCUCCACUUCAUGAAAUCUGUAUAUCCAACAUAUAGAAGGAUAUAAAAGUGGUGACGAGGGUAUCCACUUACAAAAGUGGCGACGAGGAUAUUCAAAGCUUACAUCGGAUGUUAACAUUUUCUUUUAAUACAUAAUCAAAGAAAAAUUAGUUAACAUAGAAGACCUAUUAGCGUCCGUGGUGCAGUUGCAACAGCAAGAGCAACAACAGCAAUUACGAACAAUGGUCUCCAAGAGUAGCCACAGCACUAGCCAAUUACAUUGACCGCAGUAUGUAAGUGAUACUCUAUUUUAUUGACCUCUGAUAGGAUAAAAGGCAAAGUUGACCUUGGUGGAACUUAACUAAAGAACAUAAAGUGUUGGAAGAACUACUGCCUUAAAUAUUUCUAAUUUAGGCACAUCAUAUUUCACCAAUGUUUUUUUUUUAACAUCCACUUUUCCUUGCUUGCAUGUGUCAGAAGGAAUUCACUGAUGCUGAUUUUCUGUGGCUAGAUGCCCAUCUUGUUACCAAUCCUGACUUCUUUUUCCAUGGUUAGACAUGUUUUCAGCAGACUGGAAACAACCAACACCCCUUCUAUGGUGAUACCACUCAUUUGAAACCAUUGUAGGAUGUCAUGACAAGAAGACUCAAACACGCACACUCACAUAUGCAUGCACACCUACCCACACACACUCACGCACACACACACUCACACUCACAUGUACAUACAAUGGUUUUCUUUCAGUUUCUGUUCACCAAAUCCACUCACAAGGAUUGGGUGGGCCUGGGGCUAUAGUAAAAGCACUUGUCCGAAGUGUGACACAGUGAAACUGAACUCAAAACUACUUAGUUGGGAAACAAACCUCUUAACUAUGCAAUAAUGCUUGUGCAUUGAUUAAAUCACUCUCAGCACUUCAUUUGUACUUAUUUUAUUGACUCCAAAAGGAUGAAAGGCUAAGUUGACCUCAUCCUGAUUUGAACUCAGAAAGUAAAGAUCCAGAAUAGAUUCCACAAAGCAUUUUAUCAUAUGCUCUAAUGAUUCUGUCAAUCUACCAAGCAUUUUUCUUUUUUCUCUCUACAUACCUAAGCACAAGCAUGGCUAUGAUGUUAAGAACUUGCUUCCCAACCACAUGGUCUUGGAUUCAGUCCUACUGUGUUGUACCUUGGGCAAGUGUUUGCUACAAAGUUCCAGGCCAACCAAGGCCUUGUGAAUGGAUUUAGUAGACAGAAACUGAAAGAAACCUGUUUUAUAUAUAUGGAGUGAUUGUAAUGUAAAUACAUCUAGAGUGAUUGUAAUGUCUUUAGCUGAGUGCCAUUCAUUUUUUUUUUAGGGUUGCAGUGAUGUUAGUUAGUUAGUUAAUUUUUGGGCUCAAAAAGCAAAAAGCAAGGCCAUGUAGGGGGACAUGGAGUUAUGUACAGGGUGGUGUUCAUGUAAAGAGUUCAGGCCACUUGAGGUCAAGGGAGACUUUGAACCGAGCGGUCGUCGGCAUCUUCACCAUCUCGUCUGGCAGCUUAUUCCACGGAUCCGCAACCCAGACAGAGAAAGCCCUUCUCCUUCGAUUGAGAUGAAAUUGUCGCAGAUAGAGCUUUUCGGAAUGACCCCGCAGCCGACACUCUGGAGCAGGAGUGAAGAACAGCUCUUUUGAGAGGUUACACUUUCCGCUUAUGAUGUCUCUCUCUGGUAUAAGUAGUGCUUGAGAUUUUGAUGUUAAAGUUGUUGUUUUUUUUGGCAUGAGUAGUGUUAAUAAUAAUAAUAAUAAUAAAAGCCCUGUUGCAGUACCAGGCACUAGCUCUCGUGGCUUCUGAUCUGAAUUGACUAGAAGUGUUACCAUGUGCAUUGUUUUGUCUUGGCAUAAAAGAUGGGUUACAGCAAAUAUUCUGCUCAAUGCCACAGAUUUUCUUGUCUGUUGUCUGACCAUAACCAGUUGAGCAUGUCCCUUAGUGGCUGAUGAUAUGUGCAUCUCUGAUCACAUGCAAAAGUAGUAGGGGAGCAUCAUCACCAUGUAUUGAGAGGAAUUCUUUGGAGUUUGAAUAAUUCACCUCUGGAGACAUGGGUGUUUCGUUCAACAUCCUUAAACAACCCCUAUUCAUGGACCAUUUGAAUGAGAUGAGCUACUCAACCUGAAGAAAACUCUGAGCCCCACCUGCAAGGUGAUACAUGUGCCUGGUGUACCCUUAUCAGAUGGGUAGUCACAAUAGGUAUAUUGGGCUUCGUAUAUUUUACCCUAGUGUCACUCUGAUGGCAUGCACUGCUCUCUCACUCAAUAAUAAUAAUAAUAAUAAUCCUUUCUACUAUAGGAACGAAGCCUGAAAUUUUGAGCGGAAGGAGUAGUCAAUUACAUCAAACCCAGUACUUGACUAGUACUUUAUUUUAUCAACCCUGAAAUGACGAAAGGCAAAGUCAACCUCAGCAUGAUUUGAACUCAGAAAGUAAAGAGCCUAAACAAAUAACGCAAAGCAUUUUGUCUUAUAUUCUAUAUAUUGUCUUAUCAAUCAUUGCAUUAUUUAUAAUAAUGAAGGAGGAGGAAGAAGAAGAAGUGUUUCUUGUUUUCACUACUAUUAAACUUAUUUUGAAAAGGAGAGCAAAACUAUUCUCCACCCACCCAUCCACCUAUACCAAAUAAAGUAUUACAAAGAAGAUAAAAGACAUCAGGUUGAUGUGAAAUACCAGACUUUCUGUUUUUCAUCAAUGCUGCAUCUACUAAAUGAUGCUACAACUGCAAUCAUGCUGCCUUUAUGAUAAUAAAACAGAAAAAAUCUGAGGGAGUGGGAGGGAAUCAAAGUGGAACAUCAAAAAAAUUUAAAACCUCUUUGAUUAAUAAAAUCUUUUAUUUCAACAAUUUUUUAAAUAUGAAACAAGAAGCAGGAAGAAAAAUAAAAAGCAGGUUUUUCUCUCUUACAGCUUUGGAAAACAAAUUUUAUGGGGUUUUAUAUAUGUAUAUGUAUAUCCUCAUUUAAUUUCCUUUUGAAAAUAUUUCUUUUUAAAGAAAUAUAAAAUAAAUAAAUGAAUUAAAUUAAUGUAAAGGAGAGAUUGUAGAUUUGAUAACAUUCUGUUCUCUCUUUUUUCCUGUUUCUCUUUCUCUCUGUCUCUCUCUUCUUCUCUCCCUCUGUCUCUCUCUCCUUCUCUCCCUCUGUCUCUCUCUUCUGUUUUCUUUACAAAGCAUCCUUGAGAUAAUUCAGGUUUCUUGCAUAUGUUACAAAGUAUUAUAAUUAUUAGUAUUACUAGAGUAGUGAAUGAGUAGAAUUGGUAGAGAGCCAGAUAAAUUUUCUUGCGAUAUUUAAUUUCGUAGCAUGCAUUUUGAGUUCAACUCUUGCCAACAUCCAUUUUAUCUUUCAUGCAAUCAGGGAUGCUAAAAUAAAUCACCAUCAUGUACUGGUGUUGCUUUGAUUGACUGUACUCUUCUCAUAAAAUUUCUGGGCCCUCUGCUUUUCUUAACAAACAUUAUUCUUAUUUUAUUGUGUCUGGGGAGAGUCAUUCUCUUUUAGUGCCUUAUUACUUAGCAUACUCACCAGUUUGUUAUCAUUAUGAUUAUUAUCAUCAUCAUCAUCAUCAUUAUUAUUAGAGCAGUAGGUAGGAGAAAUGGUACAGCACCAAAUGAAUUGUCUUCUAGUAUUUAGUUAUCAAAUUCUGCUGGGACACACCAGUCAAGUACUGGUAUCAGUUUGACUGACCUCACCCCUCUCCACACAGAAAAAAAUAAUGAUAAUAAAUUGUGUAAUCUUGUGUCUAAGUUAAAAAUGUGUGAUCUUGUUUAUAAGUUAAAAAUGUAUUCUUAUUAUUUAAGGCAGAGCUUACUGCAGGCAGUGAUGCUCCCACAUAGCCUCAGCUGUGACAGCCAAAAAGCAAAAGUGAAGAUUAUGGGUUUAACAAUCUAAUUUGCCAUUUCUUUAACCUGUUUUCUGUUGUAUCUUUAUCUGAUGAUUAGUACAUGCUUCUUUGGUUCAGUGGAUAAGUGUAUUAUACUACAUUUAUCUAGAAAUAAAGCUUUGUGGUUCGAAUUUAGUCCAGUAUCAUGUACAUAUUAAGAAGUUCACUUUGCAACCGCAUGGUUUCAGAUUCAGUAGUACUGCAUGACACCUUGGACAUAUGUCUGCCUGUGUUUGUUCCCCAACCCUGCUUGACAACAGUGGUUUGGCAAAAUAGACCGAUAAAUAAACAUGGGUCAAUUUGUUCAACUAAAACCCUUCAAGGCAGUACUCCAGCAUGGCCACAGUCCUGUGGCUGAAACAAGUAAAAGAUAAAAGAUAUCCAGAAAUAAGAACUCUCAUGAUGAUCAAAGGUCAAAUUGACCAAAGCAUAGAGUAGAUAUAAAUAUCAAAAACUGCCUCAUUGCAUCUAUUUUUCUAUGCUGGCAUGGCUUUGGAUGGUUUUUCAGAGGCAAUUUCCCUUUCAUCAUAAACCAUUUUAAAUGCCUCUUACAAACCCGUCUUAAAUUGGUGAGAUUAAUUGGGCUAAACUUUUACCAUGUUAAUGUCUGUAAGCAAAGGAAGUAUAAUAGAAUUUGGUAAACAAAGGAAGUAUAAUAGAAUUGGGCAGCAAAAAUUUGGUCUAAAUACUAAGCAUUCCAAAGAUCAGAUUUUAAUGUUAAACUGGAUGGUGCACUGAUCCUACUUCAUGAAAGUAUAAUGUAUGAGGCCCAAUGGCAGCUUCUGGUGAAUGGGGUCCAGGAAGGAUACAACAUGACAAUGGGAACCAAGGAUUGUGGGUUUCCAACAAAGGAGUUAUGCCUGAAAUUUGUGUGUUUGUGUACACAGAGGAGGAAAUCUUUCUGUGAAGCAAAUCCCAGCCACUGCAGACCAUUGUGGUGCUGCGAUUGUUUCAUUUAGCAGUUUACAAUUUGUGCCUGCCAGUUAUAUGCCAUGUAAAAAUUUCUGUGACAUGAAUACUAGAAGAACAGCAGAGAAGGGCUGGUUCAGAAACACCUGGUACCAGAUAUUCUUGGGAGACACAAUGUAUGAGGAUGGGAAUGGAAGGGACUGCAUCAGAUUGAGCAUGUAGGAGGAAGCUUGCUGCUUUGUGUCUCAUGGUGCAAGAAGACCUAAAAUGUAAACCGUGUGUGUGUGUGCGUGCGUGUGUGUGUGUGUGUGUGUGUGAAUAUCAGCAAGUUGUAUUUUAUUUAAUUACUUUUUCUUUAUCUUUUUUCAGAUAAACACUGAAUAUUGAUUUUUAAAGAACUUUCCAAAACAAGAAUCUCAAGCAGAAAUUACCAUCCAUUCAAGAAUACUUUACAGAGACAUCAUUCCUUUCAUUGGCUCCUCAUCCAGUUCUACAACUAGAUCUGACUGGGAACAUUUCUGGAUCCUUUUCAAAUAUUUCAGCUUUCCCAUGACAUAAGUGUAAUGGCAUUUAGUAGUUUUGUCUACAAACCACUGUGAAACAUUACACCCUGCAACAAAGUACCAGUGGCACUGUUUUGGGGGAUGGUAUUCAAAUACAACUGUUGUUGACCAGUGUUGAUUUUUUACAUUCCUCAAGAACAUUAUAGGACCAGUAUUGUACACUGCAAUCCAUCUCUUACACAUCCCUAUAUUGCAAUUUGAUGCAUUUCUACAACUUGUUAUAAUACAUCCAACAACUCGCUCCCUUAGAUCUGUUUAUUAUGUAUACAGAUAUACACACAUACAGUACAAAAAAUUUAUAUAUACAUAUAUAUUAAAUAUAUAAAAUCAUAAAGGAAAAAAAUCCAAGUUAUUGAUCUGAUGGUCCACUUGUGUAAAUCCCUAUCCAAAUUCAAGUAAUAAUAUCAACCAUCCCUCUCCAGUCUAUCCAUGCACCUCACCUUUUGAAAACUUGUAGGAUUGGAACAUGAAAGCAUACAAUAUUGAACCAGAUGGUUUUACUACCCACUGUGACAUUGUAUUUCCACACGAACUACCAUAGCUCUUGUUUGAAUAAGAGACAUUGGCAUUUGUCACAUUGGCUUAACAGUGUUCUUUGGAAUACUAGAUAUUAACGAAAGAUAUCAACUUCAACUUAUAUAACAUAUGCACACUCACACACACACAUAUGACAUCUAUCUAUAUAAAUUGUAUAUAUAGCAUAUAAAUAAGCACAUAAGUGUGUGUGGGUACGUGCACGUAUACAUUUGUUAUUUUACAUGUUUAAGUUGAUUUAUGAAAAUCUCUCUGAAGUAUCACUUGAUUAUAAGAAUUUAUAAGAAGAG
rnacentral:lncRNA from 1 species